rnacentral:lncRNA from 1 species
AUAUAAAAUCUGCCCUCCAUGGCCUUAUAAUGGAGUCAUGCAGGAUUUCCUGUAGUGCAUUGUGGAGCCUUAAGUGAUGUAUGUGCUACUGUUGUAGGUUUGUAUCUAUUUCUUUGUGUAAUGGCAAGUACUCAGAUAUCAUUGUUAAGUAUAGCUUUAUUGUCUCGGAAAUUUUUUGGUGUCAGUGCAUGAACUUAUUAUAGAUUUUGCUGUUUCAUAACUCCCAAGAGGUUCUCCCUUUUACCGAGUUGGUAUCCUUUUAACAGGAUACGUAUUUGUAUCCUGGCAAGAAUAUUAUGCUUACGAGAUAUUAUUGUUAUUCAGCGACUUUUUUUUUUUCCCCUUAAAAGUGUCACAAAAUGGAGAUCUGAUUUCAAGAUAUGAUACUAGGCUUAUCUGGUUGUUUGGUUCUACAGGAGUUCGAUCAAAGAGUUCUGGAAGGUUUUCAAGUUACUCCCCUUUGGCAUCAGGGUUUUAUUCGCGAUGACGGGAGGUAAAUUCUCCUUUUCUUCCAUGUGCUUCAGAGUAUUGAUUACCUAUCAUAUUGCAUAAUUUACUCCUUAAGUGAAGUGAAAGUCAUGUAUAACAUGUUUACUCGCAUUGUGCAUCUUUUGGAGGAAUGUUACGCGUUUAUUAUAUAACAAUUUGCUUUCUCUAAAUUACUGAGCUUUCUUUUUCUUAGUUUAAUCCAAUUGCGCUUUUUUACUUCCACCAAAUUUUACUUAAUUUAUCAUGUUGGAUCAUGGGGUGUGCCAAAUACCUUACUUUACCUUCACUGGUAACCAGUAAACUUGUUGAACAACUACACCUAGAACAUUUUCUCAUCUGAAACCUUUGACAUAGAUGACAGUUUGCGUUUUAUCUGACUUCAAGGAUAAGGUUAAUUUGAUAAUUGUGCUUGUCAGCCAGGAGCCAUAUUUGUUGUCUUUCUAGUUAGGUUGAAGUACUUUCAGGAUAAGAAAUGCAGAUAAAUGCAAGUUGUUUCCUCCCUGCAAAUUCUGGUGUUUUAUAAUAAGGCUUUGUCUUUGCGUCCUUUUAUUUUUGAGCAGGAAUUCUAAGCAUAUGAGCAUAUCAUUUGUUCUUUUCUCUUUUUAGUCCUUGUGAUAAUUUGUUGGGUAAUACUUCUUGUUAAGGAAGAUUUUACGCAGGAUUGCGAGAGCAGGUAAUUUUCUAUUGAAAGUGUCUCAAAAUGAAUUUCAGGAAGAGCAACUGAUGAUUCAGAAGUUAGUAAACCAUACAUGAAUGUUACAAAAAUGUUUAAGUUGCUUAAAUAUGUCCCUACAAAAAUUAGUGCAAUUGAGAUUUUCAUGUCACAGACAAUAGAUGGGAAGAUAAUCUGCAAAACACGUUUUCUGGCAUUUGCUGUUAGCAAGAGAAUAACUAUGGGUCUUUCAGCAAGAGCAUAUUUAGGGGCCUUUUCUGGUUUUACAUGAGAUUUAUCACAUAAAAAUGUUGAACCUGGAUAAUUCUUUGUUGUUUCAGGUGCUAUUUUAAUUUUUACAUGAUACAUUUUCUGUGGUCUCACAAAUUGUUUUGAUGCUCCAAUUUUCCUCUGCUGUUUCAAGUGCUAAACUAAAUGGCUAGAGAAAGCUGAAUUGUGUUGUUAAAUACUAUCUUAAAAGUAUUCUCAUUCUUGAAGUUCAUGCAAACUCAGUCUCUUGCUGGCUUAAUUCAUGACCCAGUAGCUUGGAACAGUUGUUAUAAAAUGGUACUUGAAUGACAAUCACUAUCCGAAAGCUGAUACUUUCUGUGCCAGUAUAUGCAAAAAUAUCCCAUUUUAUUCUUUCAAAGGUGAGAUCAUCAUUUCAUUUUUUGACAUGAUUUAGUGUGACAGGACAAGCUAUGUGGAGACUGUAAAGACUGCACGUUGGGAGUAUAGUACACGCCCCAUUUACGGCUGGGGUAAUGUUGACUCGAAACAAAAGUCUACAGCUGGGUGGCUUGCUGCUUUCCCUGUUUUUGAACCCCAUUGGCAAAUGUGCAUGGCAGGGGGCUUUCGACAGGUUCAGCUACCUUUCUUCUUUUCCAUUUAGGUCUGGUUGACUGAUAAGUUUUAAAUCUGUCCUUGUUGGACUUAAACCCCUAAGAUGAAUAACUUUUUGAGGACAAGAUAAUUGCUUAUUGAAAUUAAUAGAUGGUUGUAUCACAGGUUCCACGAGUAAUGGUUUCUUCUUCAAUGAUAAAUAGGGGAGUAUAGCAAUUGUACACAUCCAAGUGAUUCACUUAUGAAAAUGAUUAGUUACUGUAGAAUGAGGAUUUGUUUUGCUCAAUAAUGCACAUUUUCUUAUUUUGCUACCGUUUUUCUAGCAUGCAAAGUCUUUCUUUUAUUUGCAGUUUUUGCUGCAAUAGGUGCUACAGUCCUUUAAAAGUUUCUAAGCUUUCUUGGAGAUAUGUUGUUGUUGUGUAAGGAGGAAGUUGGUUUGUCAUUUCUUUGUAUCUGCAGUUGUUUCUACCUAACCUUCUCAUGGUGUCUAAUUGUUCGUUAGUUUGCUUUAUAGUUGCUGGCAUCCUGGCCAUAUGCAUGACUGGCUCAUUUCAUGGAAGGCUUUAACUAGACCUCACUCAAAGUUAGAGAUCAAUAUCUUACCUGGAGCAUUAAAUUGGUGUAUGCUCUACCAUAUUGCUUAAUCAUUGUUGUUAGUCAAAAUCUAUCUGAAUUUGCUUGUUCUUAAUUUGUUGGCAUCCAAACUACAUUGAACAGUUCAGUUGUCCUGGAUAAAUGUUCUGUGUAUUGUUUUAAUUCCAUAUUAUUAUGUGCUGUGUAGUUGAUUCUACUUUUUGCUUUUCUUCUACAUUCUACUUGUAGUACAUUUAGAUUGCACGGAUAUAUAAACACGAUUGUUUAUUUUCUGUUCAAGUUCCAUGGUCUUGUUGCAGGUUGGAUAGAGUGGGAUGGAGAAAGGUUUGAGUUUGAAAAUGCUCCUUCAUAUUCCGAGAAGAAUUGGGGUGGUGGCUUCCCCAGAAGGUGGUUUUGGGUAUGUCUUCCCUUUCAAUUCUAUGUCUUAUUAUGUUGAAGCUUGCUUUUGAUUAUGUGAUUUUUAUUUCUCUAUGGAAUUAUUCUGGUUUCGUGGUAGUCAUUUAGAAGAUUGAAUAAUGAAGCUUUCCCUUGAUGAUACUCUUGAAAGUGGUUCCAUAGAUCUAAUUUUUUGUUUUGCUUUCAUCCUCUGUGUGAUUCCAAUUACAACUUUCAAUGUUUCUUUGUGGAUGAUCCUAGAUGUCUAUGUGGUACAAGAUAGCAAGCAUUUUUCCUUUCUCAUGGAAAGGAAAGCAUGUAUCCUUCUGGUUUGUUCGUGAAAAAUUUUGGUGUCUGCAAGCAGAAUGUAUGCUUAUUGACCUAAAACCAGUCCCUUCCAUCUUUCAGAACUACAUUGCCUUUAACUUUAUUCUACUACCUUCAUCAGUUAUCAUAUGGAAUCUCUAUGUAAUUCUAUCACUCUUGGGACUGUUCUGUUUUAUGUUGCAUAUUUGCUUAUGGGCUUGCUUUAUACAGGUCCAGUGCAAUGUCUUUGAAGGUGCAAGUGGAGACAUUGCUCUUACUGCUGCUGGUGGCUUGAGGCAACUUCCUGGAUUGUCUGAUACCUUUGAAAAUGCGGCACUGGUACAUCCAUAUUAGGUUUCAUAGAUGCACAUAGCUCUUUUGUUUUGUUCUUUAUUUUCCUUUCCUUGUGGUGCUCUUUCAUCUAUGAAUUACAGAUAAUAGCUUUUGGAAUCAGCAUUCUGCCCAAUUUGAAUCCAAACAAGCUAGACAUGGAGACCCCUAAACUUUAGCAUGAAAGAGGGAGAUCAAAUAAUGCAUAUCAUGCUAAACUGGUAGCUUAAAAGGAACUUUAUGGUUUAUUAGAAAUUUAAGGUGUGUCGUGGCCUGAUAGCAAGGCAUACUGUUCUAUCAUGUGAGGUACUAGGUUGUUGUAUGGGUGCACAACUGCACACUGCAUUAGGUUUUCCAUGUGUAGACCCUUCAAUUGUGAGGUCAUGCACAUGUUUUAGUUUUUGCCCCUAAUAAAAGUUUUGUUCUUCAAAAUCUUUCUUCCCUAUAUAGACCUUAAGUGCUUUGGCAUGUAGGCACAUUCAAAGAUUAUGGAUGUAUACGUUAUUUAAGUUCAAAGUGAUAAGUGCUUGAUGAUGGAAUUACUUCCAAUGUAGACUUAAUCACUUUUUAUUCAGUCUUAAUAAUUAAUCUUUGGGCAUGGUUUGUACUGUCUUUGUAUGCUGUAUGGGGUUGGGUAGUAUGCACACACCUCUCUGAAGUUACAAAUUUAUCUUCUUGUGCUCUUGUCUGUAUGUAGCUGAUGCUAGAUUGAUAACUAUAGAAGUUUCAACUUACCUCUCAAAGACUCUUAACAUCUUGAAUUUCUUACCAAUGUGGUAAUGUGACAUAGUAUUAAGCAAACAAAAGCUACUGCCUAUCAUUCUAUGUGCAGCUCUUGUGAAGUUUCCACUUCUUGGCAAUAGUAAAAUUAAAUCUUAUGGACGUGUGAGUGGGUCAUUCAACUGUAUACGGAAAUGUUAUUACUAUUUUGUAUCUGCAAGUUUAAUUUCAUAGAGAGCAAUUUUGCGGAAUUUUUUAUGCGGCUUUAUCAAUUUUACACGGUAAUGACCAAAUUGUUAGUCCUCAAAAUUGAGCAUACUUUAUUUUUUUUUAGUAUCUCUGUAUUUGUGUUUAAAUAUCUAGUGAUUUCUUGAUUUUUUGCUGUAAAUUAAGUUAUACUUUACCCAUUCAAGUUAAAGUUGUCUUUCUUUUACUGCAUUCUUGUUGAUUAGUUACUUUGUAGUUGUUCUUAGUUACGUUGAUUUGGCAUCCCCACCCUCUUCCCUAUCUGGGUUGGAUGAGAAACGCACUGUAUUGUCAUAGGGGGAAAUACAACCUUAAUUUAUUUGCUAAACAAGAUCUUUUUUGACGCCUGCCCACCCCCGGGGGGUGGGGGGCACAAGGAGGAGUAAGUCUUAAAUUGAUAGGAAUCCAAGUUUGAGCACUAUGUAAUGGCUUAAAGGUGGUAACUAUAUAAUGGCUUGGGCGUACUUUGCCUGAUUCAAUAAGUUCUCAGUAUUAUGUCCAAUCCAGUAAGAUAUAGGCUUAAAUUUCUUGGUGGAAGUCUAGUUUCUGUAUUUAUAGGGCUUUCCUACUAAUUUGGUGUAUAAUACUUCGUUGCCUUCUGGAAGUUCUGCAUUAGAGAAAAAUGGUGAUACUAGACUUAUUUGCAAAUCCCCGGAGGCUUGUCAAUCAUGACAUCUCUUUUAAACGUGUGAUUUUGAUUGAGGCAUUUUACUUGGACUUGAUUAGGGAUGCAAGAUGCUUGAUUUUCCCUUAUAGGGAUAUUCAACUAGACUUACAAAUUCACGUGAUAAUUAACUAUCACCUGCAUAUUCUUCUUGCCCUCUGGGCAGCAUUUCUUCCUUUUUACUCCAAAUGCCAAGUUCCCAAGUCUCUCUUUUCCAUUGUUUUGUGCUUUGUUUGAGAAUUUCUAAAUGCUACAGCUACAGGCUUACACGAUAAAUUGAUUAUGCAGAUUGGUGUUCACUAUAGAGGAGUAUUCUACGAAUUCGUGCCAUGGAAUGGAGUUGUUAAAUGGGAAGUUUCACAAUGGGGCUAUUGGUUUAUGUCUGCAGAGAAUAAAACACACAAGGUAUCAGUUAUCUACCAAAGAAAAUUAUGUUUCUGACUAGCACUGUAUUGCGACUCAGCAAUAUUGACAAAGCUGGAUGUUGCUUAGCUUUUCAUUUUGAAAUGUACUCGGAUUUUUUGGUCUAACUUGUUUUGUAUGGCUUUAGAAACAUGUAUACUAUAGAAUGCUUUAGUUGCUUCUCAUGGAAGUCAUGUCUAAGCAGGUGGAGUUGGUGGCAACAACAAAAGACCCAGGCACUACUUUGCGUGCUCCAACCUCAGAGGCCGGCUUUGCCCCAGCCUGUAAGGAUACUUGCAGUGCAGAACUAAGACUGGAACUGUGGGAUCGAAGAUCUGAUGGAAGUAAAGGAAAUGUGAGUUUUGUCCUUGUUCACCAUUCUUUUUCUUCAAAAUAACAAUUCAUAGUUGCAGUGAGAUGCCAUUAUCAUAUUAGAGAUUCUGCACAAGUUCAUGUUCCUAUAGCCCAUUUGUCCCACUUUGGGACGGCAGGAAAGUUUAGAUUGAUAUGCAAGUUGAUCAUAAGUGCAAAUGCACAGCUUGGGAUAUGGGCAAGUGAAGAUCAAUGCUGAAUAAGGGGUACUGCAGCCCAGGACAUACCUGUGGCUGAAUUUGUUACAUUAUGGCAUGAGAGAGAAUCUAGUUUUGCCUUUGCAUGAGGAGAGACAGCUACUGUUAGGUUGCUGCAAGGACGUAGCAGGUGUGAAGGCUGCUUGGUCUCUACACAAGGUGAGAAUGAACCUGUGCUAGGUUGUUAGGGUGGGCGAUUUGUGUUUGCAAGAGGUGAGACUUGGUUAGGCCAUGAGGACGACUUUGUGUCUUUGUUAGAGCUGGUGACCCCGAGUCAGGAGAGCGAGAAAGUUUGGAGUGAUUUUCUAUUGUCAGCCUAAGUACCCAUGUAUAGCUUGGAUUCUUGGCAAGUGAUGAUAUAGGCUAGGGUGCAGUUGCUUGACUGCAUCUGCAGGCUUAGGGCAUGACAACAAAUGUCAAAAAAUGUUACUAGAAUUUAGUCAGCCUAUGGUUUCUAAUUUGAUUAUCUUUUAGUCCUCUUCCUUUUCUUGAAAUACGGAAAGUUGGACUAGUCAUUCGUGAAUUUCCUGGAGGGACCGCAUUGUAGAAGUCAAAGUAUAUUUAAUAAGUUUCAUAUUUUAAGGAUCUGAGUCUUCCACCUUUGAUGUUACAUUAUGAACAAACAAGACCCAACUACUGAAGAGUUAAUGACACUUGAGUAGGUUAGAUCCACUGUGCAUGACAUCUCCUCUUCUUCCUUUUUUUUUUUGGUUUGAUAUGUGCAAGACAUCUUUACCCACGGACUAUGUUCCUGUGGUUUUCUUUUUCCAACCAAAUGAAUAACCAACACUAGUAACACUUCAUGCCAUUGUCAACGACACAGGAAUUUCCGAAUUUCCUGUCUUGAUCACUACAGUCACCGAGUUUAAAGUAUCGUAUGAGAAAGCUAUUAGACUACCUGUUGUAUUCUGGUUCCAACAUCAUAGGGGACAACAUGGAUGAGGAUGUUGUAGGUUUGGUUGGGUGUUGGUGAAAGGAGAAUCCGUGAGUUCUGAAAUUGUCCGUGAGUUCUGAAAUUGUAAGUUUGCAGCUACAGAAAAUAAAACAGGAGAUCAUGGACUUAUUUGGAUAUUUGGAAACAGAUCCUAGUGGAAACAUUCUAUGACAAUGUGCUAUUUGCUAGUGGCAGAAGUCGGGCAUGAAAACAAGGAUAUAAUGAGUUAAUUUACGAUGGUUAAUCGAGAAGACGAGUAAGUGGUUAUAUGACCCAUAACUGUUGAAGUAUGAAGCAUGAUCCUGUGCUUAUUGUGUAUUCGUAGAAUUCCAUUCUCUGGUGUUACUUCUUGUUAUUGAGCAACAUGUUUAGUAGAAAUGAUCAUCUUACUACUACUAUUUUCUGUGGUUCAAAAUCUUUUAUCCGCAAUUAUAUACUUUUCAUGCAUGUUCGUAGAGUAUUCUGGAUGUCACAAGUAAUAUGGCAGCUGUAGAAGUUGGUGGAGGACCCUGGUUCAGCCCAUGGAAAGGCCAGACGAAUACACCAGAAUUUGUUAGCCGGGCUCUUAAUCUUCCUGUUGAUGUAGAGGGACUUCUGGAUUCAGUCCCUCUGCUGAAGCCCCCCGGUCUUUAACAGAUCGAGUGCUGUAUUUCUUUACAGGUUAGAGAGGAUGAAAAGCUUCACAACUGCUCAGAUUUUAUAGGUCUUUUCCAUGGGAAACCGGUUGAUCUCCAUACCAAACUUUCCUGUAGGACUUCUUAGGUGAAACAGUUGUAGAUGAACCCCAGAAAAAUAGAAACUUAUCAUCUGAAAAAUUGCCGAAGUAGUCCCAAAGUUUUAGGGAAGAAAUUGCUGUAAAUUUUUUGUUUUUCCUUUCUUUGGGUAGAAAGUGUUGGCAUAUAUGCUUCGAGAUUAGAGAGUUACGUUGUAAAUAAUUGUGAGGCGUUUGAGGGUUGUCCGAGUACAUGAUAAGAGAAUGAAGCACGUGAGAUGCUCUAAACUAAAGUGACAAGAAACUGUACCUCUAUUGAGAAAAAAAAAAAAAAAACCAUUCAAGGAGAGGUAGAAGUCAUACGGAUAUUAAUUAGUAAAGCUGAAAAAAGGUGGGGAAAAGGAUGGAUUGAAUAGUUCGGGGAAGGGAGAAUAAUUGAGAGAUCUCAACUUGACACCUUUUGCUUACAAUUUUUUUAGACAAAAAAAAAAAGAAGCCACAAAAAGGGCAAAAAGUUUGCUUAUCUAAUUAUAUGUUUAGCAAAUUAUUCGGAUGGUAACUAAAUUUAUGGAAUCGUGAAGUUUUGGUUUCUGAACUACUAAAAUUUUGAUUUUGAUCGCUAAACUAUUUACCGUUUGAAUUUCGGACCUUUUCAUUAGGUUUAAUUGUUAAUUAUGAAAUUCACGAGUGUUUGUGUGUUUGUGCGAAGAUUUAUUUAUUUAUUUAUUUUUUAUCAGCAACGAUACAUUUGUAUAAUCUACUCUAUCCUAAUUUAGGGAAGGGGGAGCCUAAGGAGGCUGUUGUAGGGACUAGUGGGUAUACAGAUUCAACUAGAUCAAGGAGUGCUAUGGUACAACCCUUAAAUUUUUUUCGCUGUUGAUGAGGUUUAAACUCUCACCAACAACUUAAGGAGGGACUCAAGUCCUCCCUGAUGGCCACUGAGCCAUUGGCCCAGUGGUUUUGUGCGCGAAGAUUCACGAGACAAGAAAAGUUAUGUCCUAUCACGGGACUUAUGAUUAAAGUUAUGCUGAAAAUUUUAUGUUUUAGGGAUUAAAGUGAGGAUGCGAGUAUGAUUAAAGGAUGUAAAGUGGAUUAUUGCAACAGCUAGUGAAUCUGGUACCACUAACUUUAUUAGGAAGAGCAAUAUCACAAGUGAAAUCAGAUUUACCUUAUCCAAAUUCAGGCAAUCACAGAUUACCUUAUCCCUUUUCUGUGAUAGAAAACUCACCAAGCUUAGAGGAAUAUAUAAUACAUAAGCACGUGAGGAGAACAGAAAUGACACAUUCUGCCGACAUUAAUUUUUUUUUUCUUAAAUAGCAACACUCAAAAGAAAACUAGCUGGCUUUUUUCUUUUUCUUUUUGUUGUUGUAAUUUAAUAAUGGUAACAGAUGGACAAAAAUAAAAAUUAAUGUCAAGUCUUUAGAUCAGUUAUAAUAAAAAUUGUUUAACUGUUAAGGUGGCUGUUGAUUUAAGAGACUGGACCAACAAUGGCAUUUCUCUUUAAAAGCUAUAGAUGCAACUGUUAAUAAGUUACAAAUGUUGUUGAACGAAACUUAAUCAAGCAAGUGAAACCAAGAUUUACAUGGCCAGUCGAUACUCCUGAAUGUCAUGAGAUGGCAUAUUUAUGUAUAUUUUUCUUUUCUUUUUUUCUUUUUUUUUUUUUGGUGCUAAGGAGAGCCAAUGGCUCAUUACAGGUUGGUCAAACGAGGGAAAGCUACUCCACACGCGUCAUGGCCUAGGAGUUCUUUAAGUAUAUUUUUCCUUUGUAUACGAUUAUUGUAUAUAUAUAUAUAUAUAUAUAUAAAUCGGUAGUGUAAAGAUUAACAAUUGUAAUUUAAACCUAACCACAUGAUAAGUAGGGUUGACCUAAACAAGUAUGAUUGGAAAAAGACAAAAGAAAGGGGGGUUUUUUUUUUCUCUGUCACAUCUUUGAUUUUACCAAUAAAUUAUGCAGGCAUUACACGAUUUCUCAGUCACCCUCAAUCAUUUUCUAUAUGAUAGUAUUAGUUUGGAAAGAGUGAUUCAAUUAUUGAGAGCACUUGCUUUAACAUGAUUGCAUGCAACUUUUUGCCUUACACAGAAGAAUCAUAUUUUACCUUAAAUUUUCGACUAUCUUUGGCUUAUAUACUUAGGUCACUUGUGAUAUAUGGCCUGUAUAAUUCAUAAUCUCACAAUUUGAUAAGUACACAUGAAGGUCUAAAAUACUAAGUAACACAAACAUAGAGCAAAUUUCAACUAGUAUAUGUAAAGCAAAUUCGAGGUAAUGAUCGUAAUGCAUCUUUGAAACAUUUAAAAGUGUGUGUGUUGAAAUGCGGUCGACCAUUAUUAUAUGAUGAGGCCCAAUGAAUGGCACAUUAGUUUGUAUCAUAGGCACAAGAAAGUAAAAUCGAACCAAAAAAAAAAAAAAGGGAAAGUUAAGAAUCCAUUUUCCUAUAUAAACGUUCACUCUUAACUCGUUAGUCUCAUCCCUGAAACUCUAGUUCUCUUUCUCUUUCUCUUAUGCUUUGCUCCUCCUACAAUUUAAUCUAUCAUAUACGUAUUUACGGAAGAAACAGGCAGCCAUGAAGAAAGUUCUUCUGUUUCUAAGUGCUCUUGUCUUCUUUGCCCUAGCCCCAGAAGCAACGAACGGUGCGUUGCAUGGAAAGACGCAAGCAUUAAUCAACCGAGCUAACAAAUUUGGACCUUAUUUAGGAUUGGUAAUUCCAAAUCUAUUCGAAAUGAAUCCACUACUCCAACAUCCAAGUUUCGUUCCUAGUGAGCUCGUUAUAGAUUUUGCAGGUACUAUUCCAGCAAAAACACCAUGAAAUCAGAAACAUUUUCAGCAACUUUUGUCCUUCAAGAUUUACACAAAUAACAUCUUAUUUUGUCUUUUCGAAACUUGUUCCAAAGGUAAGAGAUUUCGAUUUGGAACAAUUGAGAAAAAGCCAGUUAUAUUGGUGAUGACGGGACUCGGAAUGGUAUGCAGAUUUUUAGAAUUUCAUCUAUGUUCUUUUUAGGCCAUACUAGAAAAAUAGAGAGGAAUAUGCAUAUUAAUUCUCCUACUCCUUAUUAGCUAAAUGCAGGUGUAACUACGCAGCUUUUGCUGAGCUUGUUCGAAAUAGAGGGUGUUGUGCAUUAUGGAAUUGCUGGGAAUGCAAACCCUUCUCUUCAUAUUGGAGAUGUAACUAUUCCUCAGUAUUGGUCUCACUCUGCUCUGUGGAAUUGGCAGGUAUAACUUGGCAGAUUUACUUUUGUAUGCGUAGCACCAUUAUAAAAAUGAUUAAGUAGUAUUAACACGUAGCUACUAUAUUAAAUCUCUUAUUCUUUUUCUUAAUCUAAAUACCAAUAUUGGAGGUCAAAGGGUACACUUCUAUGUUUGUUUCCUAACCCAACAUCUCAAGGGUGCUGCGGUGGGUUGUGUUUGAGACCAGCAUCAACAACAGAUUAGGCUAAAUCGACACUUCUCCAUUCUAAAUUUACACCUCUAUGCAUUCGUCGUGUGGAUAUUCAUGACCUAUAUUAGUUGUUUGAUACUUGUAUAAGAUUUGCACUCCAUAACAAGUUGUAUUAUUCGUAGUAAAAUUUGUACAAUUUGAGAAUUUAAAUCAUAGAGGAUGUAAAAUUCAGCAUUUUCCACAGUUCCAUGCUGGUGUAUGUUAUGAAUUUUGGGUUUACGAUUUUGCAAUUCUAAUAGUCUACAUACUGAUGUAGCAUCCUUUUGUUUGGUACUUAGUUACAUUAGAAGUUCUAUUGACCCAAUGAUUUUUCUUAUUUUAGCUAGGUAAAAGGAUUAUUUUCUGAAGGGUCAUAGUCUAUGGAUAAGCCUGUACCGCUUUUGGGACAUCAUUACUACUUUUCUAUUUGUUGAUAGGAAACUUCGUAUAAAUCUGGGCCAAGGAAAUACUUGUGGAUUUAAAGAUUUGACAAGAAAUGGGAAGAUUCAUCUGAUGCUGAUUUAAUAAACGACAAUUCCUUUCCUCUCAUUACCUUAUUAGUAAAUUAUUCAACUUCAGUUCAUCAGGGGAUUCCGUUUGAAGGUCCUUAUGUAGUAAAAAAGAAAGUGAGGCGGGCUAAGAUUCCAUUUGAAGUAAGGUAAUAGGAUUCGAUGUUGCUCCAUCUUCAACUCUUAUCGAGAUCUCUGAAGUUUUUGGAGAAAAGUUUCCAUCCUUCAAUAUCAUGAUUGGAUCGACCAGGCCAGAUCAUGCAUGACUGAAUACAAAAUAAAAAAAAAAAUGUGCAUAGCUGCUCCUGCUAAAAUAUAUACUUGGAAUAAUUCUACCACUUCUACAUUACUAGGAGUAACCUUUUUAGUGCUAGCUCAAUGUAAAGUAAUGACACUUUUAUGCAACGUCCAAAAGGGUCCUGAUGUAGUAAAGGGACCGUUUGGAUAGCUACAGCCUCUGGACCUUGCAUUGUUUUCCAUCCCCACACUGUUUCAAAUGUGAACCUUAGAAAGUAUAUUAAACAGCCAACCUGCAUGGUGACACUGAGAAAUAAAAUUCCUUAUGGAGUAAUAUGGAUUUUGGGGUCAUAUUAACCAUGUAUAAUUUCACAUCUAUGAUCGUUAAAUUCCUGUAAUAAUGGCAAUGCUGCAGAGAUAUGGAGACGGGCCUAGCAACGAACUCCCACUUGAAGAGAAUGGAGACUACACAAGGGAUAUUGGGUACAUAAGAUUUGCAGAUUAUACAACCAGUAAUGUAACAAGCUGCAGCAGCCCGUUUGAUAAUCUUCUAAAUAACGUUUGGUACCAGCCUGAGGAAGUUUUUCCAAUAGAUGGAGAUCCUGAAGAAAGACAACAUGCAUUUUGGGUCCCCGUCGAUUCCCAUUACUUCAAGAUCUCAAGAUUGCUUGAGGUAAUUUAAGCCAUCUCCCACUCAUUUAUUCAUGUCUGGUCACUUUUUUUCCUUUUUGUAUAAUUCUUUGUUUGGGGUUUAGUGGGUCGGGUGCUGGUGGUGGUGGUGGUGGGCUAAGCCUGAUAUGACUCAGAACUAUAUCCCAUCAAUUUCGUGUCCCAUCAUCUGCAAAACCCUAGCUUAAUGUGUAUAAAUAUAUAAAGCACAAUCCAUUGUACUAUAAUGCAGAAUCAAAUAAGUAGUAAUUUAAUGGUAGUUUUGUAGAUGGAAUUUCUAACCCUUUUCCCUCCUUUUGAGCACGCAUAGACAGAGUGCACCAAACACUAGUUCAAGCAGCCGAAUAAAUUUCAAUUUGGCCUAUAAGCAAUUCUCUCUUUUCCUAGUUAAGUUUGAGGUACCAAGAAAGUGAAAACAAUUUUUAUGUAAUUGAGUUCUUAAUAUAUCAUUUCAUACUAGGAUUUUAGAUGAUUAUAGUAUUUCUCUUCCUAUACUGUGAUACUGAAAUCUACGUGUAUUUCUGGUCUAAUAAUUCCAUCUAAUCAGACAAACAAUUAUUUAGCGUGCAAUGACUUGAUUAUGAGCAAAACGACGCCGCUUAAUUAAUAAUGCCAAAUUAAUGUGGUUGAUUAAUGACUUAGGAUAUACAGACCUCGAAGAAAUUAAAAAACAAGAAUAUGUAUACAGCAAAACUAAAGUACAUUACAGAGAGUAAUCCACUGACUUAUUCACCUCGCCAACCCCAUAAAAUAGUAAUUAUGAAACUCAAAUAAACAUAUAUUUUCUCAGAGAUUAAAUUCUUCACUAGAGAAAAUCCUACGUUUUAUCUUCUUGACAUCCGUUUAUUAAUUAAAACAUGGGGAAAAAAUUUCACUAAUGUAUCAAAUUAAACUAAUGUAUCUUUGUUACUUUAAUUUUCAGGGCUUGGAAUUAGAAGGUUGUGUGAAUUCAACAACAUGUUUGGACACAACCCCAAAGGUGACAAGGGUUGAAAGAGAGAACAAGUGCCAGCAUUUACUUAGACAAUGCAGCUUAUAGGAGCUUCAUAUACAACAAGUUUAAUGUGAGCCCUGUGGAGAUGGAAAGUGCCUGCAGUGGCUCUCGUUUGCCAUCAGCAAAGGGUUCCUUUCAUUGUCAUUAGGGCACUUUCCGACUUGGCCGGCGGUGGCACCGCUGAAUCCAAUGAGGCUGCUACUUUCACUGCUCUUGCAGCUGAUAAUUCUGUCAAAGUUGUGGUGGAAUUCAUCAAGAUUUUACUGUCUUUUCCAUGGCUCCUUCGAGAAGUCAGAAGCUGAAAGAUCAUCAGGUAUGACAAAUGCUUGAAUAAGUUCAUGUGAGCAAAGGAGAAUGAUUGUUCCGCAGAACAUGCAGGCUGGCUUAAUCUUAUCCCUUUUCUUCUGUCUCUUUCUACGAGUGGAAUAAAUUGUAGUUUGGAUCAUCAAAACGUCAUGUUUUUGUACUGAUCCAAUUCGAGUAUAUUAUAUAUCAGAUCUUUGUUGUUCUUUUUCUGCAUUUUUCUCCAAAAUCCACCUUGAGAUGGUGAAGGGUUCUGGUAGACUCACGCCAGUUUUUAGGAAACAAAUUAUGUAUUGUGGGCAUAAAAUUUUUAUCUCCAAGAUUUUGUCAACCCUGCUAAUCUUGAUUCUUCAGACAUUCCACAUGACUUUAGCCAAAGGUCACAAUGACAAGCCUCCAUGCCUUGUGGCUAGUUGGCUACCGACAAACGCUGUAUGUUGACAAAUCUUCUGCAAAACAACAGAAAGCUGAGUUGUUUAAAUCUUUAAAAAAAACAAAAGAAAGAGUUAUUUAAAUCUUGAUAUUACUGAUGUGCAAAAUUUUCUAAAGAUUCAUAAAACCAGACACUAAGAGAUGUUUUGAGCAUCCACCAAACAAAAUAUCUCUGAGAAUCUUGAGCUGUCGAUGCAGUGAAUUGAGCAACCUUAGAGCCUAAUUGGUUUAGUCCUUCUAGAGUUGGAAAAAUGAUCAGGAGUGACAAAUUCUUGAAUAAAAUUAAUAUCAACAAAGGAUAAUGAUGUUCUGCUGAACAUGUUGGGUUGCCUCGGUUUCAUCCUUUCCAAUUGAAUAUUAGGCAGACGAUAUUUGUUUUCAACUAAUAAGAUGUAAUACAAGUGACUUAUUAAAAAAAAAAAAGCAAAAAUAUCUAUUCAAGAAAAAUCCCUGCAAAGCAUAGGGACCAUAAACCACAAGUAGAUGUAACUCUCCCUGUUUAGAUUAAGCAUAUGUGAACAAAUUUGAUUGGUUAAACUACUAUUCUCAAAAAUCAAAGACUGCCAGUAGUCAUUGAAUACUUUUACAUUAUUGCACCUACUACCUACUACUGAAAUUUUUUAUUUGUAUCAAACGUGAAAGUUGUAAUCUGAACCACAUCUCCAGGCAAUCACCAUAUUCCCAACAAAUCAGUCAUCAACUUUUCUUUUUUGGGGUAAAAAGCUAUGGGCAUUGACAUCUAGAUAAGAGAGUUUACGUAGAAAAUAAUAGGCGAGAAAAAAAAACCUAGCUCUAUAAAAUAAUACUCCCUCCGUCUUAUUAUUAAUGUCAUAUUUUCAUUUUUUUAUUGUCUCAAAAUAAAAGUCUCAUGGCAAAAAUCAAACAACUUUCAAUACUAUUUCUUUUCGUACCCUUAAUAAGAAUAAUAAGAAUGAUAAUUUCAUCAAUUAAUAAUAAAUAAUUAUAUAUGGCCGACCAUAACACGUGCACACUUUCACAAGUCCUGUGACCUUUUGUUUUUUAGCUUUCCGUGUUCAAACAAUGGGUACGACUGGAAGAAUACGAAAAGUGCAGUCCACCAUUUGACUAUACAUAAUAAGUGCUACUCCCGAAAAGUGUCCCAAUUUUUGGGAAGGAGGAAGUGUAAAUUACUUAUUUUCCCAUGCAAUUUUUAUAUAAUGCUAAAUGACCACCCCUAAGGUUUAAGAUAGCUACAUAACUCUCCCGUGGUCCUAUAUAAAGUGAAAAUAGACAGAAUGCACAAUCAAUUAUAACAUUUAUACUAAACACACUUUAAAAGCACUUGUGAUAAACCUACAUUAUAACUCCCUAUGGCUUCAACUAAAUUAAAAAUUGGCUGAAAGCAUCUAAUCUAACGGUUGUACGUGAAAUGUCAAUAAUGCUUCUGUAUAUAUAAACUUGUGAUUUUUCAAAUAUUUAAUUUAAUUUUCUCUCUGAUUUAAAAAAAUAUACUAUAGUUUCCUAUGAUUUUGACUAAAUUAAAAAUUAAACAAAAAGCAUUUCACAUAUAAUAAGGGCAAUAUUGACAUUUCACAUAUAUCCGUUAGAUUAGAUCCAUCCAAUUUUCAAUUUAGAAGAAAUCACAGAGAGUUGUAGUAUAAAUUUUUAAAUUUGAGGGAAUUAAAUUAUAUAUUUGACAAAUCACAGGGAGUUUUUUUCUAUAUUUUACCUUAAAAAAAUCACGGGUUUGGAAGUUUAUUGCAACAACAAAGACGUGACAUGAGGAUUGACAAAAUUUAUUUAGAAAUGACCAAACCACGUGAUAAACGAGGUAGACCUAAACGUAAAUCAUUGAUAAAAGACAAAAGAAAGGGGUCCACAAAACACAGAAGCAAUAAUUUGCUCUCAUUACACUCUUAGAAAAAUGUAAAAAAAAAAAAAAAAAAAUUAGGAAGUAAAACAAUCAGAGAGAGACACGAGGGAAUUAUGACGUACCUUCAGCAAUACAUUUCUGUGUAGCUCAGACGGCAACAGCAAACUUGUUUGGAUUGCUGUUUUGGUCAAAAAAAAAAUUAUGUAAUUUUUCGUGAUCAUAUUUCUUUAUUAUCUUUUUUUUACAUAUAUUAAAUCGUUACAGUAAUUUUUUUAUGAAAAAUCACGAAAAAUGCAAUCCAAAUACAACCUAGAUGAAAAUCUGUAAAGGUAUUCUGCUCAAUUGCACUAUAACUUAUAUUCACUUCUCUUAAGUAAAAGGUUUGCAGUGAUCUUUUAUUUUUUCAAUGAGUUAUAUGAAUGUUGCAUUAUUUCCCGUGGCACUUUCGAAAGUUUUCUGCAAAUAAUAUUUUAUGUUAGAGUAAGGCCUUGUUUGGAUUGCUUGUUUUUGUCGAAAAAUUACGUCAUUUUCCUAUUAUCUUUUUCCUCACAUACAUCAAAUCGCUACAGUAAUUUUUCCAUGAAAAAUGCAAUCCAAACACAAUCUAAAUUUUCGAAACCAGCUCCUAAACUAUCACUUUUAUACACUUUUGCCCCUAAACUAUACUAUAUAUCGCUUAAGGCUUAAACAAGUUAACAUAUAAGGUUUUGGCCCUUUUGUUUCUACUAUAUUGACCUGACAGAAUGGAGAAUCAAUUUUGUCCCUCCAAAAAAAAAAAAAAAUGACGAACUUUUGGCUCUUUUUACUCUUCUUCUUUGCAGGUUAUUUCAUCCUUUAGUCCUAAUUUUUGUAUGAUUCAAUAAUAAUAGAAUUAUAGUGAUCUGAUCUUUUACUCAUCUUCUUGUCAUUUCUUUUUCAUACAAGGACAAUUUUUUCCCUCCAUUCUAUUAGGUCAAAUAGCAAAAAUUGUUUGAAGUGCCAAAAGUUUAUAAGGUCAAAUAGCAGAAAUUAAUAGAAGGGCCAAAAGUUUAUAUAUUAAUUUGUUCAAAGGUUUAAACACUACACAAUAUAGUUUAAGAGUCAAAAGUGUACAAAAAUAAUAGUUUAACGACCAAUUAGGCAAUUUAAUCUUGAUGUUACUUGUGUUGGGAUCUAAGCGCAGAAAACAAGACUAUUGAGAAAUCAAGAAUACAAUAAUUUAACGAGAAACAAGCACAAGCAUGAAUACCUCUACCUAUUUAUAAGUUACAUUACUUGACUAAUACCUAAUAAGUAAUAAUAGGAAACAAUUACUAAUUCUUAAUCUUAUAUAAAAUAAAAAUAACUCCUAAUUCCUAAAUUCAUAUAAAUAAGAAAAUAAUUAAAAAGCUAGUUACUUACAAGCAAAAAAGAAAAAACUUGUCUAAAGAGAUAAAACCAAUUUGCUAACAACUUGUCACUCGCUUUACAUAUUCAAAUGCUCGCAAGUCACUUCUUGUCUGCGUACUGCGUCUUUCUUCUUCUUUGUCGCUUCACUUUCUUUCAAGGACAAAAUGAUCCUACGUUGGAAAAACACAUGCGAAUCUUAUGUAACUUUUUGUCUUGCGCAGAUGAAUCACUUUUACUGUAUAUUAAAUUUGCAUUCCGAUUUCUUGAUAUGCUAAGGUAACUUGUGGGUUUUGAUUUUAUACUUUCACAAACUGUAUAUGAAUUAUUAUAAUUUGAUAAGUCUUGACGUUGUAAAAGUACAAGUAACGUAAAACCUAAAGAUUUUUAAUACAAAUAGAUAGCCUGAAGGGAACAGAUUCAAACUUAUUCAUAUAAGUUAAAUAUAGGGUGACGAUACUUACACACCCCAUCCCAUGAAUAUCUACUAGACCAAACGACAAGCAUUACUAGUAGGAAAAUAGAGGUGUACAAGAAACCAAACAUUAUCGUUAAUUUUGUUCACAAUUAUAUUGUAAGUUCCAUGAAAGAUAUGAUUAGUUUGUACAAAAAAAUAUAUAAUUAAAAAUUAAAAAUCCAUUUUCCUAUAUAAUGGUCAGUCUAGCAGCUCGUUAGUCUCAUCCCUGAUCAGUAAUUCUCCUGUUUUUUCUCUCACACUUGCUCCCAAAACUAUUCAAAAACAUGAGUGCAUAGUGAAGAUGGCGGCCAUGAUGAAAAUUUUUUGCUUCUUUCUGUUGUUAUCAUCUUUGCCCACAUCCCGGAAGAAGCAGAUAGUACAUUGCACGCAAAGACACAAGAAUUGAUCAAUUGAGCUAACAAAUUAUUGAGGUUUGGUAAUUCUAAAUCUACUUGAAACGGAUCCACUACGUACAUAAACAUCCAAGUUUCAUUCUUAGUGAGCACAUUAUAUGCCAUCGUCAUGCAAGUAAAAAAAUUCUGACAAAUCAGAAGCAUUCUGGGCAACUUUCAUGAAGAUUUACUCAAACAAUAAGUUGAUAAUUAAUUUUUAUUUUAAAUCUUAGCCUAAAGGAAAUUAAGUGUGUGCUAACACAAUCGAACAGAGUGUGCAGUGCAUGAUUUGAGAUGUAAACAGGAAAUGGUCAAAUAGGAUAUGAAAUGGGAAUAUGGAGUAAUAAUCUUCCUCCUAUAUUAUUUAUUAUAUUACUAAACCUUGAGCGUACAUAUAUUGUCUAAUCCUCCCUCGUCUACCCAGUCACUAUUUAGCAUGCAGUAUUGACUAUUUACUCAACUGCAAAACGACAAGCUUAAUAAUGCUAAAGUUAUGGUCUUCACACGAACCAUAACUUUGGGAAUAAUGCGAAGUUUUUCUUUACCCCAAAAUUAAGAAAAGAAAGAGCCUAUGUUUUCAGACUCGGACCGGGUAUCAACUCAAUUGAAUUUAGGGGUCAGGGGUCAAUGGAUUCGAUCGGAGUUGAAUAAGAUGACGUUAUAAAUAAAACUUACUUAAAAAUUAAAAUAUUGUAUGUAAAAUACUUAAGAAUAUGUUAAUAUUAACAAAUAUAUAUAUUCAUACAUAUUUGAUGUUUUAAAUAUAUUUAAUAAGAAAAUACAAAGAAAUUAGAAUGAUCAAGUAGCAAUUUAUAUUAUUAAAUGAACAUUAACAAGUUUAGAAUUAAAAUUAUGGAUUUGAUUGAAAAAUAACACCAAACUUUAGGACAACAUUUAUAAAGUAUGAAAUAUUUGAGAUAUAUUAAUAAUUUUUAGCAACCUAGGGGCCAAAACAUAAUAUUGAAUAUGCUUUGACCUUUUAAAAAAAAAAUCUUGACAUCAAAUCGGUUCAUCUAGUUUGCUAGUCAAACCCGGUUUUGAUCGAGUUUGAACGAAUUUUUAUAUAUCUGAUUUUUUAGAGUAAUUCAGACUGGACACUUGACCGAUUUCCAAUUCGAUCAGUCAGACCGCCCUGUCUGAUCGCGAGUUUAAAAACACAGGAAAGAGCAGCACAUACAAAGUGAAAAUUUCUAAAUAAUAAGUCACAUGUAGAUCCAUAAAGAUAGACUUCCUUUUCUCCCAAAGGUACUAAUGAAACUCAAAUGGAGAUUUUUUUUUAAAUUAUUUUUUAUGAGAAUCUCAAUUCUUGUUAUCUUUUCCUCCGUUAGUUAAUUGAAACUUUUAUCAACUAGGGGAAACAAUGUAACUUAUGCAAUUAGCUAGUUAGCUAAACUCUAAUACAUAUCUUUAUUAAUUUUACUCGUUUUUGGACCUUUAUAGUAGACCAAGUUUGUCUGAAAUAAAUAUGUUUGAAACCAAUUUCAAGGGUGCCUUUCAUAGUUAUUAGGGCACCUUCCGACUUGGCCGGGUGGCAGUGCUCAAUCUAAUGAGGCUGCUACUUACACUUCUCUUGCUGCUAAUAAUGCUUUCAAAGUUGUGGUGGAAUUCAUCAAGAUUUUACAGUUUUUCCAUGGCCUCUUUCAGAAGUUGAAAAAUGAUCAGGAGUGACAAACUCUGGAAUAGAUUUAUGUCAGCGAAGGAAUUUAGAUACAUGUAAAGCUAGCUGAAUCUCAUCCCUUUCCUUUUUCCUCUUUUCACGAGGAAAAAAUAUUUGUACUCAAUGAAUAAAAUUUGCCUGCAUUUCUACGUGAAAUUUUUAAUUUCCAAGUCAAUUAUGAAAUUCAGCACUUAAGAUCCAGUUACUAAUCUUGAAUCUUAAGACAUCCCAAAUGUCCUUUGUCCCUUUGACCCAUACAACUUUUCUCUAAAGACCUUAAGCUCCUGUGUGAAACUCGGAAUUUAGUUUAAAAAAAAAAAAACUAAAGCUAUAGGAAAAUCGUACUCCUGUGAAUGGUGUUUACUCAAAAAUAAAAGGGAAAAGAAAAAAUGAGAAUGAAAGUCAAGUACAAGCAAAAACAAGAAACAACUACAUCAAGAACUUCAGAUUACUUGUCAAUUGCUUCGCCUUCAUCAUAUUUUAAGAUCCAGAAAACGAAGAGGACCAAUUCUCUCUCUCUCUUUUUUUUUUGCAAACGAAUCAAUCCGCCGCGCGAGGGGUCGAGUCAAAGUUCAAAUUGAGCUCGAGUCAAACUCGAAUUGGCCAAAUCGAAUUCGAGCUCGAGUUCGAACUCAAAAAUAUUAAGUUCAUUAGCUCAAGUAUACAUAUAUAUAUUGUUUUAUUUUAAUAGUGAAAUUAUAUAUAUGUCCUUAAUAUAUUAUUAUCUAUUAAGAAAAAUACUAUUUUAUUUAUUUUUUAAAAAUAUAAUAAUUAUUUGAAUUUGAGUCGAGCUCGAGCUCGAGCUUUAAAUUGGCAGCUCAUUGAGUUCGAACUUGAUAAAACUAAGUCAAGAUUCAACUCAAUUAGGUCAAAACUCGACUCAACUCGUUUGCAAUCUUAAGAAUAACUAGUGACAAAGGCGCUCUCAAAAGUUUAAAAGUAUUUUUCAUAAAUUUAAAUUUUGUCCUUGCUAAAAAUUGAAAAUGUUCUAUUUUUAUUCAAGUGUAAAUAUGUUAAAAUUAGCACCUUCAAAAUAAAUUUUAUCGGUCCAUCUACAGCCAGACAUUCCGGAGGUCAUGGAGUCCACAGCUGCCGAACCCUGUCAUUAAGCAAGGCAAACUUGUUUAACUUGGGGUUGAUUAUUCAUUUAACCUAUCAUGCAUAUACCCACACUAAUAAUUAUUACCUUCCUUUGCAUUUAUGUACUUUUCUUAAUUAAUCUUACCUUUCCAAAAACCUAACGCCUGAAAUUCAUCUUGACCAGUGUCCAAUACACACACGUUAAAUAAACCUUUAUUUAUUUAUCAUUUUAUUAUUAUUACUUUGUUCAAGGCGAGACUCUAAGCCUUACAAGAGAGACAGAGGAAGAUUUGAAAUUUGAACCAGAGACCUUAGGGUAACUGGCUGAUGCACUACUAGUUAAGUUGGAUUACGAAGAAAUGAGCAUCUCACAUUGUAGGCAUCAUGGAACGAGCAAAUUUAAGGCUUUUCCUCAAAAUGCAAAAGCAUAUAGUGUAUGGGUGUAAAGUCAUUUUAGAAAAUUCUGAUCAUUCCUUUUCUAGGGAAAAUUCCUAAUAAUUUCAGAUUGCAGAGAAUGUGCCAAUAUAUUGGAAUGCAAAAGGCUCAAUGCCCAUGUAAAAUCUCUUGAAUGGAAAAUAUAUUAGUCUGUAGUGUUGGUGAUACAAGGAAUUAGCAAAUUAAACAUCACCUUAGGUAAAAGAGUAGUAGUGUUCAACACAAAGGUGGUGCCAAUUGUGAAUGUGGACUUGCCAAAAACCAAAACAAUAGAAGCAGCUUAAGCAUCACCUUAGUGUAAAGCGAUGCUACCAUCCAACAUAAAGGUGGUGCAAAUUGUGAAAAAAUGGACUUAACAAACACAAGAAAAAAUUGAAUACGUUGUUUGCAAAAUGAUGUGCCAUACAGACUUCAAAGGCUCGCAUCCAAAGGUCUCUGGUUUUAUGCAUCUGUCACAGACUUCCUGUGCAUACGCAUGUGAGGAUAUGAAUGUACUUUACAAUAUACUAAAACUCCGAACCUUAUUAGUACUGCAAAAGCAAAUUGGCGCUGUAAUGUAUUUCAUGUCUCGUUUUAGUAUCCUUCCCCCCAACCCAAAGAGUUUAAGGUAAUACCCCUUGGUCCCCAAAAUCUUAUAAUUGUACCAAAUAGUCCUACAAUCCCCAAGCAUUUGUUUUCUAAUUUGCAAGCAUAAUUGUUUGCUAGCCACAUCUGCUCUAAUAGUUAAAUUGGGCAAAUCAAACUCAAAGGCUCGCAUCCAAAAUUAUCCAAAUAAGGAAUGUACGUGCAGAGUUUUAGGUACAAACUCUUUUCUCAGAGUAACAGCAUAAGGAGCAGAAGUAAGCAACAGUAGUAGUGAUAAAGAUUGGGAUAAUUGCAGAAACCUCCCCUGUGGUUUCUGACAUUUGCACUGACCUUCCCUGUGGUUUGAAAAAUUACACUAACCUCCCCUGAGGUUACUAAUCCUUUACAAAUUCAGUCCAAACGAUUAAAAUAUUGUUUUAGAGAGUGAAAUUCGAAUUUUGUACUAAAUCUGUCCUUUGUACUACACGCCAAUGAAUGACAAAAUACUACAAAUCAAUUAACAAUUAAUAAACUUUAAGGAAUAUAGUUUAUAGGCAAAUAAGCAUUACCUAUUUAAAAGUACCGGCUCUUACGGGUAUUUUACUUUCACACAUUUAAUUUAAUACAACUAUUUACGCUCAAAUACAGAUUUGUAUUUACUUUCAAAUAAAUUUUUGUUAAAUACAAAAACUACCAAUCUCUCUUCCGUAAGAAUAUUAAUAUACACUUUUUCAAUUUUAGUUAUAACCAUUUAUGUAUUAAUAUAAAUUAAAUGAUUUAGAAUAAAAUACCCAUAAAGAGCCAAUACUUUACUCAUGUAAUGGAUAAAAGUCAUAAAGAAUUAAUACUUUAUGAAUCAUUUCUUUUUUUUAAAAAAUAUUUAAUUUAUAUUAAAUAAGUAACCUACCGAUUUCAUUUUUGCAAGAAUAUUAUUGUAACACAUUUUAAAUUUUACUUACAAACAUUGAUAUAUUAUCAUAAAUUAAAUGUUUGAAAAUAAAAUAUCCAUAAAAAGUCGCACUUUAAAUGAAUAAUGCGUGUUUGCCCAUAAAGAGUCGGUAACUAUUUAAAGUACCGGCUCUUUACAGUUUUUACUUUUAAACAUUUAAUUUAAUACAAAUAUUUACGCUCAAAUACAUAUUUGUAUUUACUUUCAAAUAUUUUUUUUAUUAAAUACAAACCACCUCCUCUCUUCCCGUAAAAUAUUAAUAUAACAUUUUUUCAAUUUUAGUUACAACAUUUAUGUAGUUAAUAUAAAUUAAAUGAUUCAGAAAAAUGCACAUAAAGAACGAAUACUUUACUUAUGUAAUGGAUGAAAGUCAUAAAGAAUUAAUACUUUAUGGCGGCCAUUUCUUUUUUUUUUAAAAAAAUAUUUAAUUUAUAUUAAAUAAAUAACCUACUGAUUUCCUUUUUGCAAGAAUAUUAUUAUAACACUUUUGGAAUUUUACUUACAAAUAUUGAUAUAUAUCAUAAAUUAAAUGUUUGAAAGUAAAAUACCCGUAAAGAGCGCGGUACUUUAAAUAAGUAAUGCGUAUUGGCCCAUAAAUUAUACUCCUUAAAGUUUAUUAAUUGUUAAUUGAUUUAUAAUACUUUAUCAUUCAUUGGACAUGUAGCACAAAGGACAAAUCUGGUACAAAAUUCUAAUUUCACUCCCUAAAACAAUAUUUUAAUCGUUUGGACUAAAUUUGCAAAGGAUUAGUAACCUCAGGGAGGUUAGUGUAAUUUUCCAAACUAUAUGGUGAGGUCAGUGCAAAUAUCAGAAACCUCAAGAGAGGUUUAUGCAAUUAUCCCUAAAGAUUAUUUCACUACAUUCAGCGUAUUUAUUGCUAGAUUUGUUGUAAUCACUGCAGAUACAUAAAUUGUAGAGGGACAAUGGGUUUGUUUGAAUUGUAAUUUAUUUGGAAUAUUUUUACUGUAGCACUUUUUGUGACGUGAUGUAUGUGAGAUAAAAAGGUAAUGGAGAAGAUAAAAGGUGUAUUGAAAAUUGUAAUAAUAAUGUAAGCAAAAAAUUGGGAAAAUAAUGCUCAAUCCAAACAAACCCACAUUAGUAUUAUAUAUUCAUCAAGCUGAAGGCAAAGGAGUAUAACCAGAUUCUUUUUCUGGUACUUUUUUAGACAGCAUGUUGCUGUUGUGAUGAGAUUUAUAGAAUCGGCAGCAAAGAGAAAAUAGAAAAGGUUGAUUAAGUUUAAGAAGCCAAGCAGCCAAUAAUAGUAGUCAAGAUGACCUUCAUUCAGGUUGUUGGCCAACCAGCUUGCUUUCCACCAUGACUAGUAAUGCUAUUGAUAAUAUUCACCAGAAGACUUCCAAUCAGGCUAGCCAGAGCCAUCUCCAAUGGAACAUAGCCACUCCAACACUGGACAUGCUCUUGGGAACAGCAUGUAAAAGAACUGUAUCUGUCCAAUUGCGAAUAAAGCUUCAGCCAAUCCAAUGCAUACCGUCUGUGGCACUAACCACAUAGCAGACAUGUCCAGGACAGCAUCAGGAUCAUCCUCAAACCCCAUCCUCAACUGCUUUUUCAGCCUUUAUGCUCUCGACUACACCUUGCCAAUACCAUUGCGAUAAAUGACAUAACCAGCCCAUGCCCAUCCGUACUAUGGGACUUAGUCCUUGCGGAUUACCAGUAUAUCUCGCCAAUAGCAGUGCGUACACGAUCAUAAAUGCGACCCAAAUUGUUAAAGUAAUUAUCAUGAACAGACUAAAGGAUCCUGCAGGAAUUUCAAAAUUGGUGAGAAUAAGUGCCUAUCCAUGGAAUUUGCUUGAAGUGUUAGAAAACCUUGGUCUAUGGUCACUAUAAGUACAAGGCCGUGGACCACAUGGGUAUAACUUUGAGAAGAGCCUGAGUGAUUCAAGUUGUUCCACACUGCAGAGUCUCCAUGGAUUUGAAGCUAAUCCAUCUGAAGUUAACUCUGUGUCGGGGUCUUGAACAACACAAGCCUUAUUUAAACACCUGUUACCAGUGCUAAAGCAUCAAGUAAAACAACCAAGGAUCCUACUUGAAAAAAUGUCAAAGUGAUUUUUAUUGUAAGCUAUACUGAUCAAGCAAAAAGUAUUUUUAUUUCUUGCUCUCACAAGGAGAAAGCAACUCCUCUGUCUGAUAACUACGUUUCCGAGCAAGAUCCAGAUUGAUACAAAUGUUUUGAUUAUCCAAUUAACAUCCAAUUAUUGUAAACAAUCAUACUAACUGCAGUGUAUUCUCUAAAAACUGACUGGCAGUCUGUGUCAGAGGGUGUCAAUAUCAACAUAUCUAAAAGUCUCAAGAGUUUGAGAAACUUUACUAAUGUAAUGGCAUCUAAAAAUGUAGCAGCUGUACCUGAACUCCUCAGUGGGUGAUAGAAGCUUCGACUGCCGGUUCUAUGGUAACACUUGUAUUCUUCGUCAAAGGGUAUUGAAUCUCUCUCUUUCUAAAGCUGCCACAAGGACUUGAAAAAAUCCAGUAAACAAGCUCUCACUAGGUUUUGCUUUGAUGUAAAGAGAGGAGCCAAUUAUGAACAUCAGAGCAGAGAAAACCAUGAGAAUGGCAGGGAUUCCAAAUCCAACUGACCACCAAAUGAUCCUGGAUGUAAACAAUAACAGUCAUGGCAAGAAGAGUUGAGAUUGCUGUAGAAGCAUAAUACCAGUUGAAAUAAGUUUCUAGAACCCUCUCAUUAUUGGGAUUUUGUUUGUUGUCAAAUUGGUCGCGCACCAAAAACAACAGAACAAGGCCUAAUACAACCAGCUCCAACAGACAUUAGCAAAAAUGAAGACAACAAGGGAAUGAUUUGAGCUCCAUUUGGAGCACUGCACUUGUGCUUCAACUGGUCACAAGAUAAAGGCUGCAAUUGUGGAACCACAGCAGUCAGCCACAGAAGAAUCAUUCCCUGCACAAACAGACAAUAUAUUGAUUUUUCAACCAAAAAGCGGACAGAGAUUUCAAUCCCCAUAAUCUUACCCUAAUACCAAAUAUUUAUGACAUAUCAACACCAUAAAAAGACAAAUGCCCUAUCGGGCAUACCAAUAACUACAUGCAUACCAGUACUAGAUAUGACAGCAUUGAGAUGAUCGUACUUUACAGAUUCUCUUUUACAUAUGGAUCCAAAAGCAACUAUUCUUGUCAUAUUUCUAUUCCGCCUUUCCUAAUGAUGCUUAGAAGCUUAUAUGUUGAUAGUUGUAUGUUACCAAAUCGUAUGAUGUCAUUGCACAGUCAAACAGAUUGUCUGCAUGCAUAUGUGACAGCACUAGUACAUAAUCAACAUUUCUACUUCGGCAAACAAGCAGCCUAAUUGCUUCACAAGGAUACAUUACAAGCAUUUCAUCUAUGAUAAAUCUGUCUCUAAUUCAACAAAAGGUUGAAAAGUUCUCAGCCAAAGUUAACCUGGUAUCCAACUAAUAUUUCCUGUCUAUUUUACUUUAUCAAUCCUAUCAGCUAAUCUUCAAGAUAGCUUUCCUUUUGCAGGAUAUUGAGAGGAGGAACCUUUUAAUGCAGCCCCUUAGGAGGCACAUCCAUACAAAUAAUUUGGGCAAUUGAUUAGUCACAAAUUUGUGCAAAUUCUGAUGACUUGGAGUUGCACAUGCGCAUAAAGCAACAUAUUCAAGAGAAAUUAUUUGGCUUUGAGCUCUCUGUAACUGUGGCUAAGACAAAAAGUAAAGCAACCUUCUAGAGAUUUUGUUUGAUCUAUUGGUUUUCUUCUUACAGGCUAGCUGUACAGACUCUACUUUUCUUCAGAAACUCUGUAUUGACAAUAUAUUAUAGUGUUAAUAUAGUAAUCUAUCAUCUUCAAAAUAAAGCUUAGAUAAGUUAGUGGACAUACCUCAAAGCAGCCACUCAAAAUUCACCUCUCAAGCAACUCAAAUCUGAAUUUCACUCCUUUCUUCGCAUUCAUUUACCUUAAUAAGACAUUAUGCUGAUUUAUGCGUAUAGCAGAAUCACGGUGCAGGUAUUCUACAUUUUCCAUCCAUCAGUUAAUUUACCAAGGCUUGUUUCAUCUUCUUCAACAUCAAGAAAACUGCCCCUAAAUUUUUGUAAUUUAAGGGUGAAUAAGUAGUAGCAUCUGGUGCUAAUUAGUUGAAUAGGUUCAAUUUGCACUGGAAUUGACCCUGAUUCUUCUUUACUAUAAUAGUUAACUCCAAGAAAAUUUAACAUUGACAACAAUGAUAGGAAGAACUUUUGAUUUGGACCAAAUUAAUUACAUUCCUCAGUCAUCAAAUUCCCAAUUCCCUAAAGAAAGAUGUUAUCAAGAAACAGCAAUAGAAUCGCUUCAUUGUUUAUUUUUAUACACAAAACUUGCAAAUGUUGGCUCAAAAUCAUGCACAGAUGAGUAAUUCCACAACAAUUUAACAUAAUAACAAAACUUGGGCUAUUUCAAAGACGCAAAUUUUACUUAAAAACAAACAAACAUAAUAGACUAAAUUGAUCACCAAACACAGAAAAAGUUACAAGGGACUCACAAGAAGGCUGGAGAAGGAUCCAAGAAAAAUGACCCGGAACCGACCCAAAUAAGAAUCUGACAGAAAAGCACCAAAGAGGCCAAACCAUUGGACAGAGCAGACCAGAUAAAGAGUAUACUUGAAGCAGUGACAGUUUGAAAAUGAUAGAUUCUUGUCAAGUAGAGUAUCAUGUUUGGCAUUAGCCCCUGGCUUGCCACCCUCUCAAAUGCUUCAUUCACUGCAAAAUAGAUAAACCCAAAAAGGGUGAAAGAAAAAGAUCAAAACUUCAGUCCAAUAAAGAUAAAUGCAACUCCAAGAUAACAUGGGCUUGCUUACCUAUGAUAAAAGGCAUGGUUUUGAGACCUCCCUUUGUCCUUCUUGGUGGAGAAUGACCAAGUAAACUCUCUUCUUCUGGAUUGAUGUCCAUCUCCUCUGCUUCCAUCAACAGUUUCUUUGCAGAGUAGAACUAGACUAUUGUGUUAGUUUUCUUUUUGGUGUCAAGUAUACUGUGCCAGUUGAAGUAAAGACUUUCAUCAAAACAAGAUACUUCUCAAAGGAGGACUUUUAGCUUGUCUCUUCCAUGGUCAGAAAGCAAGAAGUGAAGAAACAGGUAUGAAAAUAACGGAAUUUUAAAUGUAGCAACAAGUUUGACUUUUUCUUCUUUUUUGUUUUUGGUGUUGGGGUUGGGGGAAGCGGGGGAUUGGUUUUCUUUGUUACUGUAGCAGUUUUCUAAGUAAAUGUAAGAUGGAAAAUCUGCUGAGAGGCAUGUUUGUGCUCUUCUAGUUCUAAUUCUAAAACUUCUUUUAAGUCCAAAAAAAAUUGAAUGAGAAUUUGGGGGUCUAUAUGUUAUUAAAAUAAUUAGAGGGGAAUUUUCUGCAAUUACGUUGAAUAUAAGGGGAGCUAUGUGAAAUUGUCUCUAGUGUAUGUAGCGCAGAAAUGAGCAUAUGUGAUCGCAAUCAAUCAAAUUUUGUCAUCAAUUUGGCCUUGGGUGCAAAAAAAAACAAUUUGCUGGAAUGGCUUAAAUCAGAGGCUAUGCAAUUAUUGUGACUGAAAUCAAAUUAUUGAAACACUUAUAAUUAUGCGAAAAGGUGAGUUUAAUGCAAACAAAUACAAAGAAUACACACUAAAGAAAUAAAUGGAUAAUGAACAAUAAUCAAAAUUUUUUACAAGGAAAAAGGUAUCCAAAUGUGUUUGGAUGAUAGAUUAUUUGGGAUAAUUUUUUGAAAAAAAAAAAUACUUUAACACUUUUUUUUUUAAUGUGAUGUAUGUAAGAUAAAAUGGUGGCUAAAAAAUGUGUUAAUGAUGCAAACAAAUAAAUUUUUGAAAAUAAUUCACAAUCAAACAAACUUGAACUUCGUUAUUUUAAAAAUAUUUUUUGAUUGCAUUAUUGACAUUUUUUAAUUAUUUUUUAUUUUUAAUCAAAUUUAUAUUUUACGUACAUCAAAUCACAAAAACUACUACAACAUUAUUUUAAAAUUUUCUACAAAUAAUCUGCUAUCGAACCACACGUGAUAUUGUGUAAAAACAUUUUAUAAGUUGAUAACCAAUUCAUCUUUCCAAAUUAAUUUUUGAGCCAGAAAUGGCCAAAAUUUAACGUGCAAUAUUUCUUGCACCUUGUUCUUGGAUUGGCAGCACUGCCAUGGUCGAAUCCCUGCUCCAUUUUGCAAGAGACAUGACUUCAUUGUGUUUAAAUUUGUGGAAAUUUAAAUUCCACAUCUCAAAUACCUAAUGUUCUCAACUGGUUAAAUAUAAGAUACAUUGGUGAAAUAAAUGUAUAAAAUUAUCUCAUACUGAUAAAAUCUCUUUCUUUUAGCAGUGGUAAUUUCAAUUUAUACGUUUUGGCAGUGGUGUACAAGUUAAUUAAAAUGGAAAGUCUAUGAGAAAUGAACAAAAAACUCUAACGAAUACAUAGGGAGCAAAAUAUGAGCAACAAGGAAUUUAGAUAUUGAAAAUAUCCCCCGUCUUACAACUUACAAUGUCAAGGAUCAAAGGCUCAAACGAUUAUAAUUAAGCCGGGAUUGUUUAGUAUAAUUUAUUGAAAUAAUUAUAUAUAUAUAAUAUAUAUAUAUAUAUAUAUAUAUUCCCUUUUAACCACACUUAAAACCCAACUUAUAAUUUGGAAUCACAAUCUUAUUAUUGCACAAAAAACAAAAAUCACUUUUGGCCAAUCUUGAUGCUACUCCACGUAUCUUCUUGAUGAUGUGGUAUAUAACUUAUAUGAGACCACAUAUAAUAAAUGAUUAAAAUAAAACCUAUUAAUCAUAGAUGAUGUAUAACUUACAACAUAUAAUAAAUUAAAUAAAACAUAUAAGACCUAUUCAAUAUGUGGCUUGUUACUUACAUGAAAUGACACACAAUAAAUGACUAAAAUAAGACCUAUUACUUGACUAAAUAUUCCUAUUCAAUAUGUGGCUUGUUACUUACAUGAAGUGACACACAAUAAAUGACUAAAAUAAGACCUAUUACUUGACUAAAUAUUAGGAGAUGAUCUAUCACUUUUGGCCAAUCUUGACCCUAUACUACUACGUAUCUUGUUGAUGAUGUGGUGUAUAAAUUAUAUGAGACGGUAUAUAAUAAAUGAUUAAAAUAAGACCUAUUAAUUAUGUGAUGUAUGACUUACAACAUAUAAUAAAUUGAAUAAAAUGAGACAGAGAGUGACACAGGGCGUGGGACAGAAGAUUCAUUGCGAGUUUCAACUCACAACUAAUUACCAGGGGUGUGCAUUUGCCUCAUUCUUGAAGGUUGAAUGCUCGAGUUCUUUAACGGGGUCACUUGCUCAUAUAACUCAAAUUAGGGACUGUUCAAGUAGACAUCAAGAGAAGAACCCUGUAAAUUCCUAGAUCUUUGCCCGGUCAUUCGAUCGAAUCACACACGUAAAAUUGUAUCUCUAUUUUUAUUUUCUCUUUGCUUUGUUACAGAUCGAAUCUCCUCUGGGUUUGGAGAGCUCUUGCUAACUUUGUUAAAAUCUCCGUUACAAACCGCUAGAGGCUUUGCAACAAUGAGGAACAACAAAGGCUGGUGUCGAGAAAUUCGAUCGCGCUCGUAGUGUUAACUUGGAGAUGUGACAGCCCUAGACGAGAAGCACGUCAUGCAGAAAAGAGCUUUGAUACAGCACCGCAAGGAGAGGAGAAAAGCUAGUAAAGAUGGCAGAUCAAAUUUUGUUUCAUAUGUACGACUUCCAUAUGAAACCAGUUUCGAUCGUCAAGAUGUCUUGACACUCCAGUGGGAAGCUUCUUCUUCAUUGAAUUUUAUUUUCUAACGCAAGGAAACUUCUUCAUCAUUAACAUUGCCUUCCUCCCCUCUACAAGGUCCAUAGGUCCAACAGCAGAUCAGGAAGAAAAAGAAGUUUGCCAAACUUAAACCAGAAAGAACCCAAAAAUAAUAAUCAUAAUGACCCUUGUUAAUGUUGGUAGAAAUCCAGCUCUCCCCGCCACCUCUUUUUGUAAAAUCAUCAAUAGCACUCAUUAUAAAACUUGCUACCAAACAUCCUAGAGAAAUUCCAACUCCACAGAGAGUAGAAGCCAUACUUGACAUGCUUCUGGGGAGUUCUGAAAUGAAAAACUCAUUCUGCGCGAUAGCACUCAAACCCAGAGUCAAUCCUAUCAGGCAAUAUUGGGGCAAAAGCCAUAGAGCUGACAUGUGCACUAUUGCCUCUGGAUCAUCUGAAAUUCCUUCCUUAAAUGCAAGACUAAGACGAAUACAUUCCACGGUUGCUGUUACAACCACGGAGAGAAAGGAGAUAAACGUUCCAAUUCCCAUUCUUUGUCUUGCAGUGAGGUAAACAGGUUUCCCCUUGAUUCUUGCUGCUAUCGGCAGAAGCACUUGAUCAUAAAAAGCAACCCAGAGUAUCAUAGAAAUGAUAUUAAAUAUACCAAAAGAACCUGCUGGAAUUUCGAAAUUCCCUAUGAUCUUGCGAUCCAUGGAACUUGCUUGAAGUACCGAAAAAGAGGUCUGGUUAAUAUUGAUAAAUGUCACUAUUCCUGACAACCAUAUUGGGAUCACCUUAAGUAGUGCUUUCAGAUCCUCUACCUGAUCCACUGUGCAAAGAUUCCAGGGGUUCUUAGCUCUUCCAUCAGGGGUAAGAUCUUGCUCGGGAUCGUGGAUUAUGCAAGCUUUGUUUAGAAACCUAACAAACAAAAUUCAGGUUAGUUUCAGAAACAGCCCACAGUACUAUGUUUAUAAACAUGUAUUUGAAUGAAAUAGUGAGUGACAAAAAGUUCUCACCUCAUCUUUUCACUAGGAAAAACCAGCAUUGAGCCGUUCUUGUGAUGGUACAACAUCUCGGUACUGCUACUCGAUAAUAACUUGCGAGAUUUAUUUUUAUAAGAGGCUACAAUCACUUGAACAAGUUCAGUGAAUAAGGUUACUUUAGCCUUUACCUUGAUGUAGAUGGGGGAAGCCAGAAAAAACAGAAAAGCUGCAAAAAACAUAACCACCACUGAAGCUCCAAAACCAAUUUGCCACCCCAUUUGAUCUUGAAUGUACACCAUACAGGUCAAAGCAAGGACAAGAGAUAACGAAUACGACACAUAAUACCAGCUAAAAUAUCUCUGUAACAAGACUGCAUCUUUCUUUCCAUCUCUUUUCUCGAAUUGAUCUGCACCAAAGGCCAAGGAAGCAGACCUGAUGCCUCCAGCUCCAACGGAUAGGAGAAUAAAGGAUGUGAAUAGCAUAAAGAGUUGGAAAGAUGUUGCUGAGGUGCAACUGUUGCUGGAUUCAUUACAUGGAGGAGGCCUUGCUUGGGGAAUCAUAGUUGUCAACCACAAAACAAUAGUCCCCUUCAAGGUAAAAUUUUUAUGUCAGAAUCAUUUAGAACCAAGAGGAAUCAGAUAAUCCUGCAACAUCAAUUUGGCUCUUUUCCCUCACAAAAUUAAUCUUCGUCUAGUAAUUUGUUCAUUGAGGACAAUUUAACAAUGCAUUAAUCAUUGCUAAUCGAUGUGAUUACAGUGUUAAGACGUUGGUGCAAGAGUCAGAAGUUAACUAAGCAUUCCAAAUAGGGAAUAGCCGAUUUACUGUAACUUACUGGCUCUUAAAAACACCAAGUUAGGAAACACUUCAAGAUUGUCCAAGACCAAUCGUAACAACUAUUUAUGGAGCGUUGGUGGAGGAGAGAAGUGGGAUGCAAAAACAAUCUUCCAGAAAAAGUAUGCUCACGAGCAAGUGCAAAAAUGUUCUCGAGGUUGAUGUUCUAGGAAUUGGAAAUCUGAAUCCAAAUUCCCCCUUCCCCCUCCCAACUUCUUAAAUCUCAUCUUUUCCCUAUUGAAAAAAAAAAAAAAAAAAAAAAGUGCAUAAAUGUACUCAUCUACAGAAGGCAUCCCGGCACUGAAAAUUUUGAAGAAAUUCUGCUUUUGAUUUAAUUUAACUCAAUGUAGAUACUUGGACAUGGACCUGGAAAUUGAAGAUUCCUUGGACAUUAAUCUUAUCUUUUUGUCCUUGGACAUUACCAGCAAGACAAGAAACUUGUGACUCGGACAUUGGGAAUUUAUAAAUUAGGAAAACAUUUUGCUGAAAAAUGAUAAGAAAACCUUUCGGUCAAUCUACAUAGCCUUGAAGGACAUUAUAAUGAUAAGAAAACUUUAAUGAUACUAGAAAAUGUAGACUUGAAAAAUGGAAAACUUUUACUUUCUCCACCUAAUUUGACCUCAUCUCAUUUAAACUUUCAUGAACAGCUGAAAUUUCAAGUUGCUGCGCCAAAAAAAUGGGGGUGUUUUUGCCAUAAUGGAUAAAUGUACUUUGAUGUGUUGGUGAGGAUAUUUUCAUUGACCAUGGUGUUAGAUAUGAGGACUUUGAUUGCAACAACAUUCUUAAUUUUGAGGACUAGAUUCAUACCAACUUAAGACCAAGGACUUAAUUAAGACCUUUUUCUUACUUUAUCUGGACGAAAAAUCAUAUUCACCCCCGUCAAAUCAAAAGUGUCGUAGGUAUUGACAAACCAGUCUCAAGGAUAGUGGCCAUUUGUUCAUAAAAUAAAUAAACAGAGAGAUAAUCCGUCACCAUCUUUCUUGAUAAUUCCCUUAGGUCAUCAAUUACUACCGUUGUAUCAAUUGAAGAAUAUUGGAAUAUACCAACUCUGCAAAGAACAGUAGAGCAUCAGCAGCCAUAGAACUGGGGGGAUUUAAAAGUUUAGAAUAUCAAAUGUUUUUUUUUUAUUCAGAACAUGCUCCGACUCGAGCAACUUAGGACUGAACCGACACAUCAAAUUAGGGAUAUGCCGUGACCCCCCAUAACGCACCUAUGUUAGACAGGGGAUUUAAAUUUAGGGAAGGAUUCAAAUUCAGAACCCACUCAGUCCAAGAGCCUGCUUUACUGCUAGACUAUCCGGGGGCUAGAACUUAAAAUGCAUGACAACUAUUCCCUCUUUCUUCUUGUUUGUCUGAAAUUUGACUGAAAAUUAACUGCAAUCACCAACAAUAAUAAUGAGCAAAUGGGAGCAUUUCUGAGUCAGUUGAUGCAAGUGAAGAAUAUGUACCAGAAAGCUAAUAACGCAUCCAAAUCCGAUCAUAUGGAACCGACCAACAUAAGCAUCUGCAACAAUUGCUCCAAGAACUGGCGUGAAAUUGUUAGCUGCAGACAAGUAAAAGAGGAUAUUUGAUGCAGUUGCCAUCUCCAUAUGAUAUUCCUUCAACAAAUACAGAGUCAUGUUUGGCGAUACCCCAUAAGUUGCCACCUUCUCAAGCACCGAAUUUGCUGCAAAAACAGAGAGUUCAAACUCAAAGAAGAAAUUACUGAACAACUGCGGGGGAAAAAAAACCGUAUUCGUAAAUUUAAAUAGUAAGUGCAUAACAAGUGGGCACCAACUUUGUAGUAAUAUAGGUCUGUACUACCUAUGAUGAAUGGCAUGGUUCCAGAACCACCUUUUGGUGAUGCGGUGCUCAGGAGAGGCUCUUUGACCAUAUCUUUCUUUUCUUCUAAUGGUCUCUUCAUUUUUCGUGCCUUUCGAGCUCUGAUCAAGCAGGAGCGUAUGAGGUAUUUUUACGGCUCUAAAUUAUAAGCCCAGAAACAAAAACAUGUUAAGCUCUUAUUGUAGAGAAGUUCCGCUAGACUUUGGACAAAAACUGGCCGCAAAAGGUCCGUGAGUGAUGUGAUUUUCACUUCGAAAAAAUGGCCGUAAAACUACAUUCCAUGUCCCACCGUUUGUGUCAUGUGGCGAUGGGUAGGAAGUUUCCUGCUCGUGUCGUGUGGUUUCAUCGUGCAACUGUGGAAAAAGUUUAAUCCGGAUCCGACUCAUAGUGAUGGGUUUACUCGACUCAACGAGCUAAAACUUGCUGAACAUUUUACACUUUAAUACCAUUGUAAUAUGAGCUGAUAAACACAUAUCCCACUUAUGCUUGCUAUUGAAAAGUUUUAAAUCACAAACCAUAUAAUUUAGUCUUUAAAUUUAAAGCAUAAAAAUAAAGUCCAAAACUUCAACUCUAGUUUCUAAUGAAAACAAGAUUUAAUAUUUAAGUACAGUAAUACAUAAUAAAAAUAACGACAAAUGAUAUUUGCACUCCAAUAAAAACCUCCCGCACUUAAACCAUUGUUUUAUAGUUCUUGAAUUUCGAAAAUACCCUCUAUAAUCUAUUUCUCAUGUCAUUUCUUCUCCAACUUGUUCAUGUUCCAAAUUCAUACUAAAAUUAAAAUCAUCUUUCUUUAUCAACUCAACACAUUCUUCUUCCUCAAAAAAAAAAAAAAAAAAAAAAAUUUUGCUCAACACAUUCUUCUACCUCAAUUGGUCUCUUUUCUUAACUGUGAUUUCGUAGUGUCACUUAAAAUUGAAACCAACCACUACUCCUAAAUUUUAAUUGAGUCUUAGAUGCAUCCAGCUAUCACAAAGAAAACCUCCAAUUAUGGUGUAGAGUAUCACUUCUACAAACAAACAUGAUCAAACUCAACAAAAAUCAAUCUCGUGAUACAUAAAAUAUAUUUAAAUAUUUAGUUGAUCAUUUAAAUAGGUCCGAGUCCGGGUUGGAUAAACGAAACCAUAUCUAUAUCCAUACUCGAGAAAAAAUAACGUGUCAGGGCCAGGUCUGGGUCAUUGACAGGCCUAAAAUUAAAGGACAUCAUAGUAACAACAAAAUUCCUGUUAUUAUUUCACCAAAAAUGCAAUGUUUUUAAACCCGGACCGAAGAGUGAACCAGAGAACCUUCCGGUUCAAGGUUCGAUCCCGGUUCAAAGGUUUAAUAAUUUUUUAUUCAUUUUAGUAUUAAAAAUUUUGAAUAAAACUAAAAUAUUUAUUUUAGAAAAUAAAUACUUAAUAAAAACCUGUUGAACCUCCCAGUUUUUAUCGUUUUCACCGGUUCUUGACCGGUUUUGAUCGGUUAAAUUGAUUCUUUGGAUUUUUAAUUGAACCGGACUGGCAUGGCCGGUUUGCAGUUCAACCGACCAGCCCGGUCCGAUUUUCAAAACAUUGCAAAAAUGUACACAAAGGGGUGAUAUUUUGACUUACUUUUUAAAUAUGUUGAGACUAUUACACUCAUAGAGGAAUGUGUGUGUUUGAUGGGAUAUUUGAUGCUUGUAAAUUAAUGCCUAAGAUCUAAUCGGAACAACUAGAGUCAGCCAGAUUAAAUAUAACAUCACGAUCUAGAGAAUGACACCAAAUUAGAGAAGUUUGUGCAAAUAAAGCACAGGAAUUCCAAAAAAUAAACAGUGCAAGGUCAUGAUGUUGACAACAAAUUGAUGGUGAAAUCCCCUCCUUCCCAGAAUCCCAGGGAGACGACGACCUGCUUAGAAAACAGAUGCUGCUAGCUUUGCCUUUUUUAUACCCUUGUAAUAACUGAAUAGGACCGAUCAAAGUAACAUUCCAGAGAAAAUGAUAGGGCAUUAGACCAAAAGAAAAGGAAAUGAUAUAUGAAGGACACAAUUAGCAAGUAGUAUUUCUAAAUGCAAGUACCAAAUAAUUACCAGAAGGCUAACAACAGAGCCAAAUUUGAUCAUAGGAAAUCGAUCCACAUAAGAAUCUGCAAUAAUUGCUCCAAGAACAGGCAUGAAAUUGGUAGCUGCUGUCCAGUAAAUAUUGGAUGUACAGGCCAUCUGAAUUUGAUACUGUUUCACACUUUCACCAAAUACAGAGUCAUGUUUGGCGUUAGCCCAUAACUUAACAAACACAAAGGGGGAAAAAACAACCAAGAAAACAGUAAUUGAAAAACUGCAUAAAGAAACUGAUGAUAUUAUUGCAUACAAAAAGAUAGGCAGAUAAAUCUUUUUACAUUCUGGUGUACCUCUGAUAAAUGGCAUGGUUCUGAAACCACCCUUCGGUGGUGAAGCAUUCAAUAGACGCUCUUUGGCCAAUUCUUUCUUUCACCUAGUGAACUCUCCAUUUUUUCGACUGCUUCUGACUUCUGUUCAAUCUUAGUAUCAAUCUUCUAUCAAGUUUUUAACCCACAAGAAUGAUACUAGUACCAUAAUAAGCGACUUAUAAAGAAGGGGAAAAAAAGGAGAAAAGCUGGAGCUCCCCUGAAUUCUGGACAAAAAAGCCACGUAAAGAUCUUGAAUUAUGUGAUGUUUUCUCUAUCAAAUUCUGCAUUCUACUAGUAAUAUUCAGUGUUCUACUGAUUCAUCCAUCUUGAAGAAGCAGAAAUAGUUAGUAGAAGUUGCUGUGUCUUCUUAGCAUGUGGGGAACUGAGAGGCGUGGCACGCUGGGAAAAGAGGCCAAGCUACGUUUGUUUCUUAUUUGGAUAAAUUGCCUUUUACCCCCUAUAGUUUGGUACUUUACCACAUAACCUCCUAUUAUUUAAAAAUCGACAUAACCCUUUUAUGAUUUGGGUUAAAGUAUCAUCAUUAGUUUUUUUCGUUAAAAGUAAUGGUCAAUAAUAAAAAGUGAAAAUCAAACUAAUAAAUUAACAAAUUUAUCCUUUCACUACUUCUUGUUUUCCUCCAAACAUAAAAAAGAAGAAAUUGAAGUAAAAAAUAGAUAAAUAAGAACUAGAAAAUACCAUUAAGAUUUAGUUUAAAAACCUAUAAUGUUAUUUGUAGUAAAAAAAUUUUGAUAUUUUUGUUUCUGAUUUAUUUAUUGUAUAUUUCCCUUCCAUCUUUUUCAUUUUUUAUUUAUUUAUUUUUUUCCUUCCAUUUAUUUUGUAUUUGGAGAAAAUUAAGAUUUUGUAGGCCAAAGUAUAGGUUUUCAAAAUUAUCUCUUCUCCCAAAAAAAGAAGAGAGAGAGAGAGAGAGAGAGAGAGAGAGAGAGAAGAAAAAAGAAAAAGUAGUGAAAAUGUGAAUUUGUUAGUUUGUUUGUUUGACUUUAACUUUUUACUAUUGAUUGUUAGUUUUAACAGAAAAAUUAAUAGUAGCACUUUAACCUAUACCAUGAAAGGGUUAUAUAUAGGUUUUUAAACCACAUGGGGGUAUGUGGUAAAAUAUGAAACUAUAGGGGUAAAAGGUAAUUUAUCCUUUUUGCAUUUUCAUUUGGCACGCAAUGAAGAUUUUCUUUUGACUUUGGAAAAGUUUUGGUGUUUUGCUUCCGUUAAUUAUGCUUAAAUUCUUACGAGAAGGGAAAAAUACAUGUGUUGUUUUCACUUGGAAGAGAGUUACAGGUCUUCCUAUUGCAAAUUAUAUUCUCCUUUAACCAUGAACUUUUAUAAUAGGGAUAAUUUCGAAAACCUCCCCUGAGGUUUCAUGAAUUAUCACUUAGCCCUCUUGAGGUUUUCAAAAUCUCACUUAGCACCCCUCGAAUUGACAUUUUGGUAGCAUUAUCACCCUUCUAACCAAAAGUCAUAUUAAAAAAUUCAUGUUUGAGGAGAGAGAUUAUUUUAGUGCCUUUAAUACCCUUAGGCUAUAGAAAAAUGAACAUUUUACAAACCAAGGGAAAAAAAAGUACUAAAUUGGAACCAUCUUAAAAAUGAGAGGAUGAAAAUUGAUAAGAUUUUAUGUUACAGCCGAUAAUCAUUUCUAUAGUAGAGAGAGAUAGUAAAAGCAAAUAUUUUUUAAACCAUUUUUAUAAGUAAAACCCUCCAUAGCAUUGAAGGCAAUUAGCAUGUAAAAAAUCAUACAUUUGAGCCAAAAAAAACUCAACAAUAGAUGAAAUUCAACUUUAAUAUCAUACAAAGAAUUUACUUAAAAUAGACCGACUUUUUUAUGGGAGUGAAAUAUGAAAAUUUUAUUAUAAAAAAUUCAGAAUUUGAAAAACUGCAAUCGGAGUUUUGGUUACUUUAUUUCUCUUGCGCUCUACAUGAAUAGGAACAAAUAAAUAAAUAAAGUUGUGAAACACAAAAAAAAAAGGGAAAAAAAAGAACCUCCAACUAUUUUUCUCCAAAUGCGCUGAAUGUUUCAUUGAUUAAAUCCUAUAUUUCAUUAACAUUUAGAGAAAGAAAAACAAGUUCAGAAAAUUUAAAUAUGAGGGUAUUAUUGACAAUUCAUCACCUUUGAUAUUAGCAUAUGGCCCUACUAUCACUUCAAGGGUGAUAGGUGAGAUUUUGAAAAGUUCAGAAGAGCUAUGUGAUAUUUCAUGAAACCUCAAGGAAGGAUGUAUAAGAUCACUUUUGGUCAAUCUUGAUCCUACUCCACAUAUCUUCUUGAAAUCAAGAAUACAAUAAUUUAACAAGAAACAAGCACAAGCAUGAAUACCUCUACCUAUUUAUAAGUUACAUUACUCGACUAAUACCUAAUAAGUAAUAAUAGGAAAUAAUUACUAAUUCUUAAUCUUAUAUAAAAUAAAAAAUAACUCCUAAUUCCUAAAUUCAUAUAAAUAAGAAAAUAAUUAAAAAGCUAGUUACUUACAUGCAAAAUAAGAAGAAACUUGUCUAAAGAGAUAAAACCAAUUUCCUAACAACUUGUCACUCGCUUUACAUAUUCAAAUGCUCGCAAGUCACUUCUUGUCUGCGUCUUUCUUCUUCUUUGUCGCUUCACUUUCUUUCAAGGACAAAAUGAUCCUACGUUGGAAAAACACUUGCGAAUCUUAUGUAACUUUUUGUCUUGCGUAGAUGAAUCACUUUUACUGUAUAUUAAAUUUGCAUUCCGAUUUCUUCAUAUGCUAAGGUAACUUGUGGACUUUCACAAACUAUGAAUUAUUAUAAUUUGAUAAGUCUUGACGUUGUAAAAGUACAAGUAACGUAAAACCUAAAGAUUUCUAACUCAAAUCGAUAGUCUGAAGGGAACAGAUUCAAACUUAUUCAUGUAAGUUAAAUAUAGGGUGACGAUACUUACACACCCCAUCCCAUGAAUAUCUACUAGACCAAACGACAAGCAUUAAUAGUAGGAAAAUGGAGGUGUACAAGGAACCAAACAUUAUCGUUAAAUUUGUUCACAAUUAUAUUGUAAGUUCCAUGAAAGAUAUGAUUAGUUUGUACAAACAAAUAUAUAAUUAAAAAUUAAAAAUCCAUUUUCCUAUAUAAUGGUCAGUCUAGCAGCUCGUUAGUCUCAUCCCUGAUCAGUAAUUCUCCUGCUUUUUCUCUCACAGUUGCUCCCAAAACUAUUCAAAAACAUGAGUGCAUAGUGAAGAUGGCGGCCAUGAUGAAAAUUUUGCUUCUUUCUGUUGUUAUCAUCUUUGCCCACAUCCCGGAAGAAGCAGAUAGUACAUUGCACGCAAAGACACAAGAAUUGAUCAAUUGAGCUAACAAAUUAGGACCUUAUUGAGGUUUGGUAAUUCUAAAUCUACUUGAAACGGAUCCACUACGUACAUAAACAUCCAAGUUUCAUUCUUAGUGAGCACAUUAUAUGCCAUCGUCAUGCAAGUAAAAAAAUUCUGACAAAUCAGAAGCAUUCUGGGCAACCUUCAUGAAGAUAUACUCAAACAAUAAGUUGAUAAUUAAUUUUUAUUUUAAAUCUUAGCCUAAAGGAAAUUAAGUGUGUGCUAACACAAUCGAACAGAGUGUGCAGUGCAUGAUUUGAGAUGUAAACAGGAAAUGGUCAAAUAGGAUAUGAAAUGGGAAUAUGGAGUAAUAAUCUUCCUCCUAUAUUAUUUAUUAUAUUACUAAACCUUGAGCGUACAUAUAUUGUCUAAUCAUCCCUCGUCUACCCAGUCACUAUUUAGCAUGCAGUAUUGACAAUUUACUCAACUGCAAAACGACAAGCUUAAUAAUGCUAAAGUUAUGGUCUUCACACGAACCAUUAACUUCGGGAAUAAUGCGAAGUUUUUCUUUACCCCAAAAUUAAGAAAAGAAAGAGCCUAUAUUUUCAGAUUCGGAUCGGGCAUCAACUCAAUCAAGUUUAAGGAUAAGGGGUCAAUGGGUUCGAUCGAAAUUGAAUAGGAUGAUGUCAUAAAUAAAAAUUAUUUAAAAAUUAAAUAUUGUAUGUAAAAUACUUAAGAAUAUGUUAAUAUUAACAAAUAUAUAUAUAUUCAUACAUAUUUGAUGUUUCAAAUAUAUUUAAUAAGAAAAUAUAAAGAAAUUAAAAUGAUCAAGUAGCAAUUUAUAUUAUUAAAUAAACAUUAACAAGUUUAGAAUUAAAAUUAUGAAUUUGAUUGAAAAAUAACACCAAACUUUAGGACAACAUUUAUAAAGUAUGAAAUAUUUGAGAUAUAUUAAUAAUUUUUAGCAACCUAGAGGCCAAAACAUAAUAUUGAAUAUGCUUUGACCUUUAAAAAAAAAUCUUGACAUCCAAAAUUCGGUUCAUCCGGUUUGCUGGUCAAACCCGCGUUUUUGAUCGAGUUUGAACGAAUUUUUUAUACAUCUGAUUUUUUAGAGUAAUUCAGACUGGACACUUGACCGAUUUCCAAUUCGACCAGUCAGACCACCCUAUCUGAUCCGAGUUUAAAAACACAGGAAAGAGCAGCACAUACAAAGUGAAAAUUUCUAAAUAAUAAGUCACAUGUGGAUCCAUAAAGAUAGACUUCCUUUUCUCCCAAAGGUAGUAAUGAAACUCAAAUGGAGAUUUUUUUUUAAAUUAUUUUUUAUGAGAAUCUCAAUUCUUGUUAUCUUUUCCUCCGUUAGUUAAUUGAAACUUUUAUCAACUAGGGGAAACAAUGUAAGCUUAUGCAAUUAGCUAGUUAGCUAAACUCUAAUACAUAUCUUUAUUAAUUUUACUCGUUUUUGGACCUUUAUAGUAGACCAAGUUUGUCUGAAAUAAAUAUGUUUGAAACCAAUUUCAAGGGUGCCUUUCAUAGUUAUUAGGGCACUUUCCGACUUGGCGGGGGUGGCACUGCUCAAUCUAAUGAGGCUGCUACUUACACUUCUCUUGCUGCUAAUAAUGCUUUCAAAGUUGUGGUGGAAUUCAUCAAGAUUUUACAGUUUUUCCAUGGCCUCUUUCAGAAGUUGAAAAAUGAUCAGGAGUGACAAAUUCUUGAAAUAGAUUUAUGUCAGCAAAGGAAUUUAGAUACAUGUAAAGCUAGCUGAAUCUCAUCCCUUUCCUUUUUCCUCUUUUCACGAGGAAAAAAUAUUUGUACUCGAUGAAUAAAAUUUGCCUGCAUUUCUACGUGAAAUUUUUUAAUUUCCAAAUCAAUUAUGAAAUUCAGCACUUAAGAUCCAGUUCUAAUCUUGAAUCUUAAGACCUCCCAAAUGUCCUUUGUCCCUUUUGACCUACACAACUUUUCUCUAAAGACCUUAAGCUCCUAUGUGAAACUCGGAAUUUAGUUUAAAAAAAAAAACUAAAGCUAUAGGAAAAUCGUACUCCUGUGAAUGGUGUUUACUCAAAAAUAAAAAGGGAAAAGAAAAAAUGAGAAUGAAAGUCAAGUACAAGCAAAAACAAGAAACAACUACAUCAAGAACUUCAGAUUACUUGUCAAUUGCUUCGCCUUCAUCAUAUUUUAAGAUCCAGAAAACGAAGAGGACCAAUUCUCUUCUUCAUCAUAUUACUUAGCAUGUAUGAAGCUCUUUACAUACAUGCUAAGCCUUCAUAGCAGAUUAUAAAGAAAAUUAUCCACGAGCUAAGCGUCAUGACUAGGAGGCCUUUAUAGCUAAGAUGAAUUAUUUAAAAAUGUUGAAGUUAUUCAGAUGUCCAAAAUCUUAUAAAGAUGAACCUAAAAUCUUGAACUAAGAUAUGUGUCGAGACUCCAGCAGCCACCUAAUAAAAUAUCUCCACAUGGGUGUUUUAUAAUAUAUUAGUACGAGCCUUGAAUGGCACAGGAUAUUUAUGCUCAAUUAAUAAAAUGGUAGGAAUUGAAUAAAUGAAAGAUCAAAAAACUAUAGCACACAAAAAAAAAAAAAAGAAAGAGAGAAAAAGAAAGGAAUAACUAGGGUUGCAAACGAAUCGAGCCGCUCGCGAGGAGUCGAGUCAAAGCUCAAAUUGAGCUCGAGUCAAGCUCGAACUGGCCAAAUCGAAUUCGAGCUCGAGUUCGAACUCAAAAAUAUUAAGUUCGUUAGCUCAAGUAUAUAUAUAUAUAUAUAUAAUUUUUAUUUUAAUAGUGAAAUUAUAUAUAUGUCCUAAUAUUUAUUAUCGAUUAAGAAAAAUACUAUUUUAUUUAUUUUUUAAAAAUAUAAUAAUUAUUCGAAUUCGAGUCGAGCUCGAGCUCGACCUUUAAAUUGGCAGCUCAUCGAGUUCGAGCUAAAAACUAAGUCAAGAUUCGGCUUGAUUAGGCAAAAACUCAACUCGACUCACUAGACUCGUUUGCAACCUGGGAAUAACUAGUGACAAAGGCGCUCUCAAAAGUUUAAAAGUAUUUUUCAUAAAUUUAAUUUUGUCCUUGCUAAAAAUUGAAAAUGUUCUAUUUUUAUUCAAGUGUAAAUAUGUUAAAAUUAGCACCUUCAAAAUAAAUUUUAUCGGUCCAUCUACAGCCAGACAUUCCGGAGUCAUGGAGUCCACAGCUGCCGAACCCUGUCAUUAAGCAAGGCAAACUUGUUUAACUUGGGUUGAUUAUUCAUUUAACCUAUCAUGCAUAUACCCACACUAAUAAUUAUUACCUUCCUUUGCAUUUAUGUACUUUUCUUAAUUAAUCUUACCUUUCCAAAAACCUAACGCCUGAAAUUCAUCUUGACCAGUGUCCAAUACACACACGUUAAAUAAACCUUUAUUUAUUUAUCAUUUUAUUAUUAUUACUUUGUUCAAGGCGAGACUCUAAGCCUUACAAGAGAGACAGAGGAAGAUUUGAAAGUUGAACCAGAGACCUUAGGGUAACUGGCUGAUGCACUACUAGUUAAGUUGGAUUACGAAGAAAUGAGCAUCUCACAUUGUAGGCAUCAUGGAACGAGCAAAUUUAAGGCUUUUCCUCAAAAUGCAAAAGCAUAUAGUGUAUGGGUGUAAAGUCAUUUUAGAAAGUUCUGAUCAUUCCUUUUCUAGGGAAAAUUCCUAAUAAUUUCAGAUUGCAGAGAAUGUGCCAAUAUAUUGGAAUGCAAAAGGCUCAAUGCCCAUGUAAAAUCUCUUGAAUGGAAAAUAUAUUAGUCUGUAGUGUUGGUGAUACAAGGAAUUAGCAAAUUAAACAUCACCUUAGGUAAAAGAGUAGUAGUGUUCAACACAAAGGUGGUGCCAAUUGUGAAUGUGGACUUGCCAAAAACCAAAACAAUAGAAGCAGCUUAAGCAUCACCUUAGUGUAAAGCGAUGCUACCAUCCAACAUAAAGGUGGUGCAAAUUGUGAAAAAAUGGACUUAACAAACACAAGAAAAAAUUGAAUACGUUGUUUGCAAAAUGAUGUGCCAUACAGACUUCAAAGGCUCGCAUCCAAAGGUCUCUGGUUUUAUGCAUCUGUCACAGACUUCCUGUGCAUACGCAUGUGAGGAUAUGAAUGUACUUUACAAUAUACUAAAACUCCGAACCUUAUUAGUACUGCAAAAGCAAAUUGGCGCUGUAAUGUAUUUCAUGUCUCGUUUUAGUAUCCUUCCCCCCAACCCAAAGAGUUUAAGGUAAUACCCCUUGGUCCCCAAAAUCUUAUAAUUGUACCAAAUAGUCCUACAAUCCCCAAGCAUUUGUUUUCUAAUUUGCAAGCAUAAUUGUUUGCUAGCCACAUCUGCUCUAAUAGUUAAAUUGGGCAAAUCAAACUCAAAGGCUCGCAUCCAAAAUUAUCCAAAUAAGGAAUGUACGUGCAGAGUUUUAGGUACAACUCUUUUCUCAGAGUAACAGCAUAAGGAGCAGAAGUAAGCAACAGUAGUAGUGAUAAAGAUUAGGGAUAAUUGCAGAAACCUCCCCUGAGGUUUCUGACAUUUGCACUGACCUUCCCUGUGGUUUGAAAAAUUACACUAACCUCCCCUGAGGUUACUAAUCCUUUACAAAUUCAGUCCAAACGAUUAAAAUAUUGUUUUAGAGAGUGAAAUUCGAAUUUUGUACUAAAUCUGUCCUUUGUACUACACGCCCAAUGAAUGACAAAAUACUACAAAUCAAUUAACAAUUAAUAAACUUUAAGGAAUAUAGUUUAUAGGCAAAUAAGCAUUACCUAUUUAAAGUACCGGCUCUUUACGGGUAUUUUACUUUCACACAUUUAAUUUAAUACAACUAUUUACGCUCAAAUACAGAUUUGUAUUUACUUUCAAAUAAUUUUUGUUAAAUACAAAAACUACCAAUCUCUCUUCCGUAAGAAUAUUAAUAUAACACUUUUUCAAUUUUAGUUAUAACCAUUUAUGUAUUUAAUAUAAAUUAAAUGAUUUAGAAUAAAAUACCCAUAAAGCCAAUACUUUACUCAUGUAAUGGAUAAAAGUCAUAAAGAAUUAAUACUUUAUGAAUCAUUUCUUUUUUUAAAAAAUAUUUAAUUUAUAUUAAAUAAGUAACCUACCGAUUUCAUUUUUGCAAGAAUAUUACUGUAACACUUUUAAAUUUUACUUACAAACAUUGAUAUAUUAUCAUAAAUUAAAUGUUUGAAAAUAAAAUAUCCAUAAAAGAGCCGCACUUUAAAUGAAUAAUGCGUGUUUGCCCAUAAAGAGUCGGUAACUAUUUAAAGUACCGGCUCUUUACAGGUAUUUUACUUUAAACAUUUAAUUUAAUACAAAUAUUUACGCUCAAAUACAUAUUUGUAUUUAGUUUCAAAUAUUUAUUUUUAUUAAAUACAAAACCUACCUAUCUCUCUUCCGUAAAAAUAUUAAUAUAACAUUUUUUCAAUUUUAGUUACAAACAUUUAUGUAGUUAAUAUAAAUUAAAUGAUUCAGAAUAAAAUGCACAUAAAGAACGAAUACUUUACUUAUGUAAUGGAUGAAAGUCAUAAAGAAUUAAUAUUUUAUGGCCAUUUCUUUUUUUUUUAAAAAAAUAUUUAAUUUAUAUUAAAUAAAUAACCUACUGAUUUCCUUUUUGCAAGAAUAUUAUAACACUUUUGAAUUUUACUUACAAAUAUUGAUAUAUUUAUCAUAAAUUAAAUGUUUGAAAGUAAAAUACCCGUAAAGAGCGGUACUUUAAAUAAGUAAUGCGUAUUGCCCAUAAAUUAUACUCCUUAAAGUUUAUUAAUUGUUAAUUGAUUUAUAAUACUUUAUCAUUCAUUGGACAUGUAGCACAAAGAGAUAAAUCUGGUACAAAAUUCUAAUUUCACUCCUAAACAAUAUUUUAAUCGUUUGGACUAAAUUUGCAAAGGAUUAGUAACCUCAGGGGAGGUUAGUGUAAUUUUCCAAACUAUAGGGAGGUCAGUGCAAAUAUCAGAAACCUCAGGAGGUUUAUGCAAUAUCCCUAAAGAUUAUUUCACUACAUUCAGCAUAUUUAUUGCUAGAUUUGUUGUAAUCACUGCAGAUACAUAAAUUUAUAGCAGAGGGACAAUGGGUUUGUUUGAAUUGUAAUUUAUUUGGAAUAUUUUUACUAUAGCACUUUUUGUGACGUGAUGUAUGUGAGAUAAAAAGGUAAUGGAGAAGAUAAAAAGUGUAUUGAAAUUGUAAUAAUAAUGUAAGCAAAUAAAAUUGGGAAAAUAAUGCUCAAUCCAAACAAACCCACAUUAGUAUUAUAUAUUCAUCAAGCUGAAGGCAAAGGAGUAUAACCAGAUUCUUUUUCUGGUACUUUUUUAGACAGCAUGUUGCUGUUGUGAUGAGAUUUAUAGAACGGCAGCAAAAGAGAAAAUAGAAAAGGUUGAUUAAGUUUAAGAAGCCAAGCAGCCAAUAAUAGUAGUCAAGAUGACCUUCAUUCAGGUUGUUGGCCAACCAGCUUGCUUUACCACCAUGACUAGUAAUGCUAUUGAUAAUAUUCACCAGAAGACUUCCAAUCAGGCUAGCCAGAGCCAUCCCAAAUGUGUACAUAGCCACUCCAACACUGGACAUGCUCUUGGGGAACAGCAUGUAAAAGAACUGUAUCUGUCCAAUUGCGUUUAAAGCUUCAGCCAAUCCAAUGCAUACCGUCUGUGGCACUAACCACAUAGCAGACAUGUCCAGGACAGCAUCAGGAUCAUCCUCAACCCCUCCUCAACUGCUUUUUUCAGCCUUAUGCUCUCGACUACGCCUGCCAAUACCAUUGCGAUAAAUGACAUAACCAGCCCCAUGCCCAUCCGUACUAUGGGACUUAGUCCUUGCGGAUUACCAGUAUAUCUCGCCAAUAGCAGUGCUAGUACACGAUCAUAAAAUGCGACCCAAAUUGUUAAAGUAAUUAUCAUGAACAGACUAAAGGAUCCUGCAGGAAUUUCAAAAUUUGAGAAUUCAGGAACCCAACUUUGAUCCAAAAUCUUAAGCCAUUAGGUUUUAGCCCCUUACUUACAUAUUAAUGUUCUUUCUCCAUCUCUCGGAUCAAUGUGAACCUUUUACUCAUGAAUCUAACAAAUCUUCCCCUUCAUAAGUAAUCAUCACAUUAAAUCCAAAUUUACAAGCUUUUUUUCGAGCCUACUUUAAUAAUAAAUUCAAGCCCACCUUAUCACCUAAUAUCACCUUGUCAGGACUUGAGGACUAAAUUGCAAUUAGGCAAUAAAUAACAAUUUUUGUUAGUCUGUUAGAAGGUUGUUAGCAUUAAUGAGGUCAGGAGGUUAGUUAGAUUACAGAAUGAAGUAGCAGUGAUCGGUUAGCUCACUCUUAUAUAACGAGCUCAGAUUGUAAAAGGAAAACAAGUUGAUUGAUAACAAAUUGAUUCUCCUUUCUUUCUCGUUUCCUUUAUCUCUCUCUCAUUCUAUCUCCUUCCCCUUAUUCCCUCCCUUGUCUUGUUUUUCUCCUUCAACUGCUCCCUUGUAGAUUCUCAGAAUUCUACUUGAAUUCAUGACACACCUCUUCUCCCAAAUAUGGAUCCACUAUUUUUUAACAUCCAAACUGGAUUUUUUGGAUCUCUACCAAUCCUUGGCUCCAUCUCACACCAACCGAACCCCAGCCAAACCCAUAGCGCACCUGGUCCAACACUAACUAAACUCUUUAGCAUUUUGGUCCAUCACUAAAAAGAGAAUUUUUCACCAAUUCAACUCCGAAAAGGAUUCACUUGCCCAUAAAUAGCCCAAUCUCACAACUUAAAACUCUGAUACCGAUUUGAUAAAGGGAAACACCUAUCAAAUGAGAGUAUACCAAAGAGUCCAAUAUAUAAGUCAGGAAUCCAACUCUAAUCCAAAAUAUUAAAUUAUUAGAUCUUGGACCCUUACUUACAUAUUAACUGCUCUUUCUGCAUUUAUCGGACCAAUGUGGGACAUAACCCUUUACUCAUGAAUCUUAAUACCUUUGAAUCGAAAACAGCCCCUAAUCCAAAAAUUUUAAAACCAAGAAGUUCUUGUUUCCCCACGACCUUGUAAAUAUCCCUCCAAGAGAGACAAAACAGCACAAUCUGUCGGGGUAUAGCAUAUGUUAUCAUGAAAAUUAACUUUUUUUUUGUUCGUGGUUAAAUAAGGGAGGUGGAUGUGUUGGAAAACUUUGGAGGGUGGAUCUGUUGAGAUUUGAGAAGCAAAGCAAGCAGGUGAAAGGAUUAAGAAAUUUAAUGGUAAUCUCAAACUGCCGUGAUUUGUUGCAGGACUAAUAUUAAGGGGUGGUUUGAGGGAAGUUUCCUGACAAUAAAGAAUUAUGAUCAAGAAAUGCUUUGUUGCCGGAGUAGGAUUAAGAUGGGGCUUGCCAAACUCUUUCAAAUAUGCAUGAAUAUAUGCGAUUUAGAAGGGAAGAAUAUGCAAACUUGAGUUUGAUUGAUGGAUUUGACUGACACCCCAUAUCCUAAGAGACAUUUGCCAUCAAAAUAGAGGAGAUAACAGAACCUUUCUCUAAAGAAAUGAAUGGCAAAUCAAGUAGAAAAAGCAAAGAAAAGAGAUAAAUCAGAGCAUAACAUUUCGCAAUAUUAGAUUAAGAGGAGGUGACAGAGACAGCCUAAUUACAAACUACUAAAUGUCACAUAAGUACAUCAAUACAUUUUCAAUUUGCGUAUACAACAAGGGAAAUGGGCCGUUGCCUUUUUUCCAAUCAAUUGCAUGCAGCCAUCUAAUCCCUUUUUCCUCGUUAUACCAUCAAUAAUUGAAACUCAGAAAGCAAGCCAGCAGUUUAAAAAACAAUAAUUACCUUCAUCCACUAGAACUUUGCGAAAGAUCCAAAUACCGCUUCACCAAUUGUUAGUGUCUAAAUGCCUGCUCAUUUUUCAAGCCCAACCGUCUUGUACGUUGGAUCGGGCCGACUCACUGCUAGCUUGGGCUAUUGUUCCCUGUAUAAACAUUAGUAAUUCUAGCUUGGGAUUCAUUUUUCUUUUUUCUUUAUUAUAUUUUUCUGUAGUACCAAAAAAGAAAACUUUUUUCCGCUUGGUUUUGCUAAAAUCAGUCAAAUCUUGCUCAGAAGACACUUUUUCCCUGUUUCUGACAGAUUAAAGCCCUUGCAUAUUCAGGCAUCAAUAAUGCAUAUCAGCCCCACUGCACGUGAAUUUGCCAUCCAAAUUAUUACCGAUCCAUUCGAUAAAUUAAUUAAUUAGAGAGUAAAAAACAAAAAAAAAGCCAUUUGUGGUUAAGCAAAUAUACAGAAAAGUCUCCGUAGUUUCAAAACAUACAAUUUGACAUAUCGUUAUUGGAACUAAAUUAAAAAGGCAACGGAAAUCUUCAAAACUAACGUGUGUGUAAGCACACGGGCUUGUUUUGCAAAUAGUUGUAUAUGAAAAUAGUUUUUUUAUAAUUAAUUUUUAAUUGAUAUACCUAUUCCACCCCUGACGGAAAAAAUUUCAUGUAGUUAACUCAAGGAGAAAUAAUCAAACAACAAGGUGUUGGAUUGUACGUUUUGAAACCACGAGAAGAUUUCUUGUAUAUUCGCUUAAUCACAUGUGGUUUUUUUUUUCACCUUAAAUUAAACUCAUUCAUCUUUUUAUACCAUCGCAAGACCAAAAAAGAAAAAAAAUUAGUAGCUAGUUUUCUAGUCUAGGAAAGAAUUUACACAUUGGAGCACUUUGGAUAUGGUUUAAUGCUAAUUGAUUCGCAACAUUUGAGUAUUUUGGAAAUGAGAAAUAAUUUUUUUUUUCCGUGUGUUUUGCAAGUGAUUACAAGGGACUUCAAAUCCGGAUUUGUUUGUCAAUACGAAGUGUUCAAAUAUAACAUUGUGGUUAAUGUUAAUAGAAUUUCAUAAUGGAUCUUCUGUCCUAUUUUUUAUGUCAUUUUUCGUCUCACUUUUUAUUAUAUUACUAUUUUUCCUUCAUAAACGUCAUAUUUUAGUUCUUUUUUAUUUUCUAAAGAUCCAAUAACUAUUAAUUGGGUAAAACAAAUACGGCAAUUUAAAAAAAAUAAAAUUAAAAAAUAUAGCAGAGAAUUCAUUAAAAAUUUUCAUUUUUAUGCAUUUUGAUUUUUCUGAGUUUGUUAAAUUUUAUGUAUUACUUAAUUAGUAGUUAUUGGAUUUUUAGAAACAAAAAAGAAAUAAAAUAUUACGUUUAUAAAGGAAAAAAUAUCAAUAUAAUAAAAAGCGUAAUAGAAAAUGGCACAAGAAAUGAAAUAGAAGAUCUGUUGAGACAGAAUUCUAUGAAAGUUUUAGUCGGAAUAUGCAUCAUAAAAGAACAUAUAUCACCCUAUUAUGGUAGAGAUAACAGAGUGUUCUAAGACCCAAUAGAUUUUGAUAUAGGACAAUUUACAUUCACAUGUUCAACUCUUAAGAGUUCAAAUAUAAGUUUACUGCAUGAGCUUUGAAAAAAUUGCACCAAGUUACCAAAAGGUAUAGGGUGAAUAUUCUUAAUGCUAAAGUUUUGGAUACCUCAUGCAGAAAAGAAUAGCUUUUAAGAAAAAAAAAAAAAAAAAGAACAGGUAGUUUUAACUUUUAGUGUGAUCAGGAUUUAUAUAAGUCAAACAAUCCCUAUACCAAACUUAGAUUAUUGGAUAGUAUUAUACCAAUGUAUAUGCAACCUCAAAUAUGAAUUAAAAGACCAAGCAACAAUUAAAACUGUGCUAAAUUAACAGAUAACAAUGAGCUGAAAUUUUAUUUUAUUUUAUUUUUUAUCCAGUGUUCCAAUCUACAUAAGGAUCAAUACAAUUCUCCACCUUUUUUAUUUUGUGGUUAACCCCAAGGAUUAUUGCGACUACCAUAUUACCCCAAUAUCAUAGACUCAUAUUACAUUUUCCUAACCCACAAAAAAAAAAAGAAAAGAAAAACUCAUAGUGCAUAAUACGUACCCUCUACACUAAUACAGAUAUAUCAAGACCCUUAAAACCCUACCCAUCAAAAAGAGAGAAGUAAGUCAGGCAGGUCAAUGGGUCCAUUUUGACCAAAUUUGACAGAUGACCUUAAAGCCGUAAGAUUACUACCCUUUAGGACCGUUGAUCACCCGUCUUGAGUCAAAUCCAACCGUCCAUUUUCCUCCUGCAGAAUCUUCAGAAGUUGGGCCGCUUUUCUCCUGCCCCUAGCACUACAAUCACCUUGAAGAGCUAACAUUACCGCACGCGCCACCUCCUCAGGAGGCGCCACCACCGCCCCAUCAGUACAGCCACCAAAAAUCACCGCCAGGACACUAAUGGCAUACUCUUUACCUCUCCCCUCCAUCCUCCCCAUCACCUCCACCAUCAUCGGCACUGCAAGAGCGUGAGACCUCAGCUCCGCCGCCCCUUCCGCCACCGUGCAGAGCAACUCCAAUGCUGCCAACGACCUUUCUGCCACCGCACCCUCCAAAUCCGCCAUUGCGUCCACCACAACCCCAACUGCCCCGGCUUCGACUGCUGCAUGUCUGUUACCUUCGACCAAACAUAGCGCCAAUAAAACUUUACUGGCCGACUUAGCCAUGACCCUUUCUUUUAGGCAGCUCACCACCCAUUUCAUCACCGUAGCCGGGCAUGCCACCGCAUCUCCACCGUCCGCGACUGCGCGUGGGUUUGGAACGAGUGACUUUUCCAGCAAGUGUAGCGCGCCGAGCUUGUCUUCGUCGGAUCCAGAGCUGAAACGAAGCUCCGCAACGUGAAAAGUUUCUUCCAACUUGGUAGCAGAUAGUGGCGGCGGCGGCAGAGAAUCAGGCGCUUUUCUUGGUGGGGUGGGCUCCGAAAUCUUCGGCUUUUCUUGAGUUUGCUGAUACGGGUGGAUAAGAUGGUGAGAGAUGGGGGAGUUAGUCAGCGGGAACCUCCAUUGGGUGAAGCUCUGGGAGGUGUUUGAGGAAGAUGAGGAUGAUUCCGAAUCGGGUUUGGUCGGUGCAUGUGGUGGAUGAGAGGAAGAAGGUGGAGGAGGGAGAGGAGGAGGAGGUGGUGGUGGUGGUGGUGGUGGUGAUGUUGGUUUUGGCGGUGGCUGAUCAGAGGUGGCUGGGAAAGGGAGUGCUGGAGGAGUUGUGGUGGUCGGACUGAGCACUGUUUGAGUACAGUUGCGAAAAAACCCGCAAGAAAAAAGUGGACGCGGCGCAGUUUUUAGCUUGGGGUGUUGAGAUUUCAUUGUGGCAAUAAUAAUGCACGAAAACACUUCAACAGUAGUGCAAUUUGUGCAGCAAAAGAGACUUCAUAACAUCAUCAUAAAAAACAAAUAAAUAAACAAGCUGAUAAUCCUAAAACUCAGAUUUAUGUUGCUUUUACUGUGUGUUUUGUGAGUGUGACAGUGCGUGAGCCGUGGGAGUGAAUCUGCUUCUAUGAGUUGUUGGUUUCAGAGAGUAGUUUAGUGCUUUGGGGUCGUGAGGAGGGUCAUAGUUACCGACAUUUUAGUGAAGUUUGGGAGAUUUGAACUGUGAAAGUAUGAUUCUUUGGAUCAAUCCAUUUCAUCUUUGAUCACUUGGUUGAAAUGACAGCGUAUCUAACUAUCAACUUGGAUGUGGGGACUGAGGACAGAUUCAUACCAGCCUUCCCUGUCUCCUUCUGAGGACGUACCUACAUUAUUGAUCACACACAUUUGAGGAAUGUUAUGGUAUGAAAGAAUUACUCUUGGGUUCCUCUAUUUGCAUAUUCUUUCGACUUGGUUUGUCAAAUCUAUGAGAAUCUAAUUGCAUUUUGCAUGUACCUCAGUACCUCACUAACAAACUUGCAAAACAUUUUUGGGUCAAAAUAUUGGAUUUAAGAUCAAUGCAUGGUUGUCAUUUCCUUCUUUCUACUCCAAUUUUUGCCUUGAAUCCUACUAAAAGUACUGCAACCAUCACAUUUUCUAAACCAUGCAUAGGAUUUGUAAUUUAGAUCGUAAAUUUCCAAAUCAAUGGAAAGUAAGGUCUCAUUGAACAAUUUAAUAUAACUAUCAUGGUUGAUGUGAUAAUGAGUAAAAACUUAUCAAUUUACUAUAUCAUUUUCGAGUGUCCAAUUAACAUACCAAGAUUCUUAUUGUCAACUUUAUCAAGGGUGAGUCACAUUGUCAUGAACUGUCGCAUGAGUACUUGCUUAGUAAUUUGGAGUGAAUCUGGUGAGAUAAAGUAAUGCACUUGAUGGAUCCUCACAGAAAGAAGUUCAAGAUGAGUGAUCUAAGGUGUUCUAAAAUUGUCAUGGUUUCUUUGUCUUUGGAAAGAGAAAAGGUUAAAUCAUAACUUCACAUCAGGCUUCCCAACAUUCCCAUUUCCCUUCCCUUUCUAAGCAUCACAAGAAAGGGCAGUAAUUAUUUAGUUGCCUAAUUAGUAACAUGUAUUACAUGAGAUCUGAUUGUUUGUACAUGUGCAUUGGAAGAAUAAACAGUCUAAUGAAUUUGGAAUUGUGGCAAUUUUUUGUCCUCCAAUAUCACUAGGAUCCUCUACGAUAUUUACUUAGAAUUAAACAUACUUAGAUAACAAUAUAUUAAUGCACUAAAGGGAAACAGAUAUUUUUUGUACAUUUAUUGUUUUGCUCAGAAAUCGUAACAUGUUCAACAGUUUAAACAAGAAAAACGAGGUUUGCGUGUAACAUUUGAGUCACAAUUGGAAAUAACUAAAAUUAGACAUUGAAGAUCUCAUUUUAAUCAUUAGUCUUAACUCUUAAUCUACUUUGAAGUUAUAAAUAUAUGUACUCAUACCCCUAGGUUACCCUCCAUUUCAUGUGCCUCUCGAUUUUGCUGUGAGAUAUCUUUUCUACAAUUUCAGCUAAAUCAAAUGUUAGUCGUGAUGUGCAUUUGAAGUUAUAAGAACUUUGCUGGAUUAUUGUGAUGGCAUCUUUCAGGAGAUCAUUGUCAGUGGUGCCUCAACAUGGAAGUUCAGCAGAUGAGGAAGAAUAUGCAGUAGCAUCUUCAUUACCUAAAUCAUCAUCGCUGAACUCAGAUCACCUGCCAACAGGUGGUUUAUUUCUACGUUCUUUCAGUUCAUUAGACUAUGCACUGUACAAACUUCAAACACUCAUUCUUGGCUUAUUCCCUAAAAGAUCUUCUCGACCCUUAGAAAGGUUCAAAUCAAAGGGGAACAGUUGGAGAAGGGCUCUUCUCCAUUUCUUGGUAUGUUUCCUUAUUGGCAUACUUAUUGAGAUUACACCAUUUGCUUCACCAACUUUUUCCAUGAAUCUUUUGGCCAAACAUCAGCCUUUCUCCUUGGAGAUGCUUCAACAAGUCAAUACGAUUGGGUUUUAUCAACAUGAUGAUCCAAAAAAUUUUACAUCUGCAGUCGAAAGAGUCGAAAUAAAUGAUAACGAUAAACCCAAAUCAGCAGGCGCUACUGAUGAACGACAAGACGGAUUUCCUGUUGGUGAUCAUCUAACUGAUAAAACACUUUAUGAAGAUCUAAACACCACAUUCAAUAAGCUUUUGAUUAUUGUGACCCCAAUAUAUUCUAGGCCAUUACAAGCUUAUUAUUUAAAUCGUUUGGCCCAAACAUUGGGAUUGGUUCCGCCUCCUUUGUUGUGGAUAGUUGUGGAGAUGACAUCUCAAUCUGCUGAAACAGCCGAAAUUUUGAGGAAUUCUGGGGUCAUGCAUAGGCAUCUAAUAUGCAAAGAGACUUUAACUGGCGCAAAUGAUAGAGGCAUGCUCCUCAGAAAUGUAGGUCUUUCUCACAUUGAGACACACCAGCUUGAUGGUAUCAUUUAUUUUGCUGAUGAUGACAACAUGUACACCACUGAUCUCUUUGACCAAAUGAGACAUAUCAGGUCCUCUACUUUUUAUAAUUGUCCUUGUUCUUCAACAGCUUUUGCCAUUUAACUUGUGGUUCUUUUUUUUUUUCUUUAAUUUAUUCUUUUGUCCUAAAUUAAUUUUUUUUGUCCAUUUACCUCUUUCUUUCCCAGAAAACUUAACAAUAAUUUAAUAUGUGGCUCUGACUUGUCUCAAUCACUUGCGCGAAUGAUUUACAAGUCAACAUGGUUAUAAGUUUUAUUGCACAAGCUGCAUACAUAAUUUUCAAAUGAUUAUUUUUCUUUCAAUUUUUGUUUUCGGGCUCCUCAUUGAACAACUUUUUUUUUUCUUCUUUUGAUGACUGGUCAUCCAUCAUACUUUUUCUGAACUUAGUGGGUACCACUGAAACUAGCCAACUUGUUACAGACAUCAUACGGACCUUCUGCAUUAGAUUUGUUUUUGGAUGAUUACACUCUUUUCACUUGUAGCUUUUAUAUGGUUCUGUGUUCUAAUAGUUAGCUUACAAAAAUUUAAAAAGUAGGAACUAAAUGUUCAAGGGUUUACCAGUUUAGAAAUACCAGUCUUUUCUUUUCUUUUGUGUGUGUGUGUGUGUGUUGGGGGGGGGGGUGGGUUUCCUCUCAAUUGAUAGUUUUUCUUGAUUGUUAACUCUUGCAUAUGCAGGCGGUUUGGUACGUGGAUAGUAGCUAAACUAGUGGGAAAAAAUACGCAUGCGAUUAUGGAGGGUCCAAUUUGUAAUGGCUCUCAGGUUACGGGAUGGCAUUUGAAUGAAAGGUCAAAUAAGUUUCAAAAAUUCCACUUAGGAUUAUCAGGGUUUGCCUUCAAUAGUACUUUACUUUGGGAUCCAAAGAGAUGGCAUCGCCGCCCACUUCAGCCAAUCAGGCUGCAUGAUUCAGUCAAAGAUGCACCAUUCCCGGUGAGUUGUUUCUUUCCUUUUUCUUUGUAAUGUUAAUCAGCAUGAUUUUAUUCCUCCCCCCCGGGCGCCCCGGAGAUCGACUGGUUUCCACAGAGGCAGGUCACUGGAUCUACCCCGGGAGAGCUAACGUGCCGGGAACUUUGGGGUGGGGCUCUCAUAGUCACAUGAAAUUAGUCGGGUCCAAUGAUUCCGGACACCUCGUAUCGAAAAAAAUAUAUGUAAUAAUUAGUAAGGAUAAAAUUUAUAUACACCAAAAAAAUAUUCUUUAAGUGGGAUUGGAUGCAUCACAGCUAAUCACAAUUUCAAUUUAAAUAUUAUAUUUUGCAUACGUUACAUGUAUUCAACUCUAUUUGUAUAUUUAUUGUCAAUGACUCAAUGUAUAUUUAAUUAGUUUAUCCAAUUAGUGAAGAGAAGAAAAGAAUAGAGGAGAAAAAACACAUGAUUUAGAAGAGAAGGGGGGAAGUACCAAAUGCAAUUUAUUUAUUUGUUGUAUGUUUUAUCUAGUCAAGGAUGUUUAAGUAGUUUUGCAUAUAUUGCAGGUUAGCAGGUUCAUCGAACAAAUUGUGGAGGGCCAGAACGAAAUGGAAUGUUUACCACUGGCUUGCUCGAGGGCAAUGGUUUGGCGCCUUGAUGGGGAAUUUUUGUAUUCUUUUCCUCAUGAAAAUUCUACAAGAAGUAGCUUAAUUCUGCAUUGGCUGAACGGGGUAUUAGAUUUUGCCAUCAUAAAGAACUUGAUUCAUUAAGAUGUUUAUGCUUCCAGAUUCAGACAGCCAUUCUCGGAUUUGUUUCUCAUAUGAUUUUAUACUAAUUAGUUUCUUUACGUAUAACAAACCAAUGUCUAAUUAACUUGCAGAUCUGAUAUUGUAGUGAUAAUGUCCUUUCUUUUCUUUUCUUUUUCCCUUCUAUUUCUUUCUUAUCCAACGAAUAUCUCAUGUAUGCUUUUAAUAUAAUGUCGUAUGUGCAUACAGACGUAAAUGAAUCUCAUCAAGUCAAAUAUCUUAGUGCUCAAACUUGUUUAAUAAUUUUAACGAGCUUGAAGUUAAUUUUAAAUUUGACUUGUUUAUUUACCAAACUAAAUUCAAAUGAAUUUUAAUCGAAACGACCUCGAGAAGUUUGAAGUUUUUACCUAUAAAUUUUAAUUUUAUACAAAUCAAAUCAACUUGAAUAUCGAGUAACUUAUUUCGUCUUUGACUUCUAUAUAUGCAUGCAUGACUUUCAGUCUUAACGAACAUAUCAUCACAACCAACUGCAUUCAUACCAGGAUUGAUAUUACCGUUCAACAGCAUCAAUGUCAUCGGCUCUAAUCAACACCGUUUUCUUCAACUCUUCCAAUGAAGCUUUAUAUUGUUGAAGCUCCUCCAACCCCAUAUUAUCAAUUGGUUCAUCCCACCAAAAACUCCCAUUAUUCUCUACCUUCGACCCUUCAAUGGUUUCCUUUCUUUUUCUCUCAAUCUCCAAUUCUUCAGAAACUUUGGCAUAGUGUUGGUUGUGUUCUUGUAUCUCAGCAACCAAUGAGGUGUUCCGAUCAGCAACACAUGAUGAUGAUGCUGAUGCAGUGGUAUACUUGUUAAUAACAGCAUCAAUGUUGGGGUGGCCAAAUGCAAAUACACCCUUGCCCAAAGAAUGAACCAAUUGCAACUUCUGCGCCGGUUAAGAUGCAAAGUUCACUAGCUUUCUUCAAAAGACCGGCUCUCCUCUUGGAGAAGGUUACUUGCCUGUUGCUCAAGUCGUCUAUCAUCUUGAUUUCGAUCUUUUUCCGACCUCGGGUCGUCGUCUUCUUCAUCAUCAUGUUGUUCAUUCUGGGUUUUUGGUGGGAUUUUGAGGAAUUCAGGAAUAGCUACAUUUCUUUAGUAUCCUAUUAUACGAGUUUGAACCUUCCUUAAUAUCUGCCUGUAAUUUUCUUUCCCAAACACUUCAAAGAUUUUAUCCUGAUUCUGAAGAUAUAUUCUUUCCAGUUUUUCCGUUGUUUCACCCUCCAAUUUUAUCCUUGAUUGAUGGAUUAGUCUUAGAAAUAAUCCUACUAUAUAUUGUUCCACCACCUUCCUUAAUAUUUACCUGUAAUAUUGUUACUUGAAAAAUUUUAAGAUAUAUACUAUAUUAACCAGUUUUCCAUUGUUUCGCCCUCUAAAUUUCUCCUAGAUUGAUAUUCCAUCUGUUCCACUUUAAUAUUCUUGAUUUCUUGAUUUUUUUUCACCUAAUUUAAAAAAAAAUUAGUUAACUUCAUUGGAAGAAUACUAUUUUUCUAAAAUAUCCUUGUAUUAAUAUUAGUAGUACAACUAAAUAUUAUACCUUUAUAUUAAUUGCAACAAUAAUAUUGAUCAAAAAAUGUAUUAUUCAAGGUAUGAAUCAAAGCAAUUAAUGAAUAAGGUAAGUUAUAUUUACUGUAACCAAAUAUAUUAAAUAAGGACAUUUUAGAGAAGUUAAAAGUUUUCAAUUGAAAAGUCAACUAAAAUUUCAAACGAAUGAAAAUGGAAAACAAGACUAUCUGAGACGAGCGGAAUAUUUUAUUUUAUAUAGCCUACUUUUUUUUUGUCAAAAUAUAUAUAGCCUACUUAACUUGAACUAAAUUUGGAUAUACACCUAGUAGUGAAGGGAGCUAAUUAGGUGCUUAAAUUUCAUAAAUGCAAGUUCUUUGCACCGACUUACUGAAAUUAAAGGACCUUUAACUGAAAAUGCAGGAAAAAGGAUUAAGUGUCAGAGUUGGAAUUGUGGUUAAGCAGUACUUUCUUAAAGGUCAAGGGUGUAGAUUAAGAUAAUUUGUGAGAAUACAUAACUACAAUAAGCAACGGUAAUUGAAAAAAAAAAUGAAAUACACCUUGCUAAGGACUAUAAUCUAUUUCCUUCUAUAUCGCGUUAAGAGAAAAAAUAAGUACUUGCUACUUAAACUAAAUGUGACAUGAAUUAUACAUUAUAUAUUAUUCGUGAAGAAAAUGAUAGAAUCCACACAUAAUAUUGGUGAGUUUAAUUAAUUUCAAUACCUGCAUGCAAAUUAUACCCACCAAGAGAUAAACUAAGAACAGUGCUCAGAUAAAUAAUGAUUUUCACUUUUGUUGCUAAUGAAUUAGUACAAAAUUCUCCAUCUUCCCCAAGAUAGAGAGGGUAGUAAUCCCCAAGCACAAAAUUUCUAGGUUACCGUCGGUGCAAGGUGAAAUUAAUGUUGUGGCAACGACUUUGAUCUGCUACGGAAGUUCAGUAUCUCAUGCAUACCAUUUCUUCUUCAAUCAUGCCCAAUUUUAUAACUGUUGCUAAAAUCGGUAUGUUUUACCACAAAAUCUGCAGUGGAAGAGCUUCUUUAUGAUGCUUCUGAUGUUCCCUUCUCUUCCCUUGAAUUGCACAGAAGGAGUUUCAAUUCCUAGGUUCUCUAGUUUGUGUUUUUGUGCUCAGAUAACUAAGGAUCACCACUUUCUUGUACGCCCUUUCUCUAGUCUAGUUCUAAUAAUGAAGCAAUCCUCAGACUUAAGUGGGAUUCAAUUAGGUAUUAUUCAGUGCUAGCUACUUGCAUUAUUGAUCAAGUGGGCUGCAAUCAAGAACCAAAUGUGACAGGCUACACAUGGAUCUCUCAGCUCACCAUCAUAAUUUAGCACUUUUGGUUGGUUAGCAAGCAACAGAAGUUGCCAAAUGCAAUUAGUAAUAUGAUAAAAGUUCUGGACUUGCGGAUAGCUGGAGUGCAGGGCAAUUGGGGACCAAUUAUAUAGCUUGGGGGGUUUAGCCAAAGCUUUUUUUUUUUUUGUUUCCCUGCAGCAGAUAUAGGGGUAACUUGUAGUUACAUAGCUGGCUUUUGUUCUAAAGCAUUGCAUAACCAUAAAUUUGCUUCUUAUCCAGAUUAAGUCAUUAAUGAAUUUAUUAGUCUACAUUAAGAAGAGAAUUUUGGUUUGCACUUCAUUUCACGAAAGUUUGCAUUUUCAAUCUUCCUACAAGAAUAAUCCUGCAGGUACUUAAGGUAUGCUAGAUUGAUUACAGAUCGAUCCUAUCCUUGUUUUGCUGAUGACCAUUUCCUAGUCAAUUUUUUUAAAUAGUUAUUAAUCUUUUUCGUAAAAGAUUUCAGUCGAGCACUGUUUAGUUCCACGAUAAACGAAUUUUAAGAACAGUAACCAUUACAUUGGUCUCAAGAAAUGGCGUAGCUAUCGCAUGUCUUCAUCCUCCAAGGUCAAAUGGUAGUAACAUGAAAAAGAAUAAAAUUAGGCCAUGUAAAAGCUUCAACAAUUGAAGCUAAGAUCUUUACAGCUGAUUGAUAAGACAAUGGUUCUACGUAGCUGGUUAGGUUUUUUGGUAAGUUAGACAAUCACCAUAUCCAAAUGGAAGCAUAAGGUAAACAGCAUAGAUUUAUCAGAAACAAAAACCAACUUUUAUCCUCAUUGCAGGGGCCACAACUACCAAAUUCAACACAUCUAUACAGAAAAUGAAGAGAUAGCUAGAUUUAAGUUCACAAGUUCAAUCCACUCUCGUCCGCUCUCUAAAUUCUCUUUUUUCUCUCUAACUUCCACCACUUUUCUCAAACGAAACAAUAUCUUACUUCAUGGGAGGAGGGAGGCCUUUUGAUCUCCCUCCCUCCUCUCAAUGACUUCCUUUUAUGUUUGUAGAUAAUAAAGUCUUCUCUAGAAUUUCUAAUGAGAGUAUAAUAUUGUUCUCCCUAGGUUUGCACUGAGAGUAUUCUCUUAGUUUCAUACUUUUCAUUUUUUUUUCUUUGUCUAAUCUCAAUUUUUUCAGAUCUAUUUGUUAGAUCUGAAAUUGCUGAAUCUAUUUUGUCAAAUCUCAAAUUCAUAUAAGGGUUUGAAGUAGUUAAACAGUAGAUUUCAUGAGAAAAAAUAAGUACAGAUGUUCGUUAGAUUAAAGAGAUUGAUAUCACUUGAAUUACGUUAAAAAUUUUAUUUGUAAUUUCUUAGAUUUGAUGUAUUUGUAGAUCAUUCAGAUUUAUCACUUUUGUGACGUGUUUGAUGAUAUAUUUUCUGCCAUUAAUGCAUAAAUCAUGAGUGAAAUUAUGAUUUUUGUUAGAAAAAAAAAAAAAAAACAAAGGGCAAAUGAAGACAUAGAUGAACUUCUAAUGUUGGCUGAUAUAGGUUUCCCUUUCCCAUCAGGGUUUGAAUUUUCAUUACUCCCCAGCUUGAACUAAACCUUCAUCAACAGGCUAUUGGCCUGGAUUGUCAGGUCCCUCGCCACCUGUCAUUGAGUGCUUUAAUUAGCCAAAAGAACUACUUGGUCCUCAAAGCAGGCAGAAACACAACAAAACUGUUAACCACUCAAUAUAGGCCAAUGAAUAUCAGACAGAAAAACCAUAUUUCGUGCAGCCCAUUUUAUACUCAAAUGCAUGCAGAUCUUGUCCCAAAAUUUCACUCCAUCGCAACAAGGAAAUACAAAUUAGGGUCUAAAGUGAUAGGUAACAUACAAGUUAGAUGUUCUUUCGUUAGCCUUUGGCAUUAAUUCGAUUGAACCAAGUUAGAGAUUGAAGAAUUAAUACAAACAUAUAGCUUUAACCGAGCUAGAAAUAAUUAACCCUUUUCCACAGCAUCAAAUAUGAACGGAUCUAAAGUGGAACUAACCCUUCUGAUUAGCUAUUAAACGGGAAUUGUAGCCUUCUCAACAUCGUUUUCAUUUUGAUUUCUCACUUGUGCUUCGUAGACAUCUCAUAAAGCUUGUUGUUUAUCAUUAGUAGAAUACAAGAAGACGAUUGCACAUUGAUUUAGAAUCCGUUUGGACGGAUGUUCUUUAGGGUAUUUUUAUACAAUUUUGAAAUUAUAAGUAAAUAAUUCUUUGUAAGAACAUUUUCUAUGACAUUUCUAGGAGUGUCUUUUAGAUUUUUCUUUUUUUUUUUUUGGGUUAGAAAACAGGACGAAAAGAGACUACAUACAAGUUGAAAUUUUGUACCUCCAAAUUUGUAUCACUUUUGCAUUUUGCCAUCCUAAACUUUAAUUUUAGACACUUUACAUUCUAAACUCUUAAUGUUAGAUACUUUGCAUCCUAAACUCUCAAAUUUGUCCUAUUUAAAUCCAAUCAAUGAUAACUUUAGUAAAAUGAACGGCAUAGAGGAUCCAAUAAAUCAAUAACAAUGUGCCAAAAGUAGUCAAAAGGUGCUAAGUUAUUAUAACAAAAAUAAAACAAUACAUUAUCAUUAAUCUAUACCAUCUUUUAUCUCACUAAUUUUGGUAACAAUAUUAGUAAUUGAGACAUUAUAGAUCAACGAUAAUGUACAAAAAGUGGUCAAAAAAAUUAAAGGAUUACGGUUCAAAUAAAACGGUACAUUACCACUAAUUUUCACCACCCUUUAAUUCAUCAAGUUUGCGAACGUAGUCAUUGAUUGGAUUUAAAUUGGACAAACUUGAUAGUUUAAGGUGUAGGGUAUCCAAAAUUAAGAGUUUAGAGCGCAAAGUGUCUAAAAUUAAAAUUUAGGGUGCAAAUUUAAGGAUAUAAAAUAAAAUUAGUCCACUUUUGCCCGUCAGUCUAGUUUUUUGUAAUUCUUACAAUGUAAGAUGUAUAACAAUAUAACUUUGAUAUAAAUCUAAAUUUUAUUAACUCAUACAAUUAUUUCUUGAUUAACAAAUUUAUAUUAAAAAUUUUUAAAUUUAUAGUAACUAUAGAUUGAAGUGAAUAAAAAUAAGGAGGGGAAAUGAAUUGGUUUUUUUUUUUUUUUUGUCAGCAACGAUACAUUUGUAUAAUCUACUCUAUCCUAAUCUAGGAGGAAGGGAGCCGAAGGAGGCUGUUGUAGGGGCUAGUGGAUACACAGACCCAACUAAAUCAAGAAAAUGUUAUGACACAAUCCUUAAAUUUUUUUUGCUGCCGGUGAGAUUUGAAUCCUAGCCAACAAGGGGAAAUGAAUUGACAGAGAGAAUGCAACUGAGAGGUGUCAGUUCGUGACUUCUCCUCCCACUUAUGCUUUAAAAAAAUUUUACUUCAAAGUUCAAAGAAACAAUUCGAGUGAAUAAAAGUAAAUAGAGGCGCCCUGUCCCACAUGUUGUACUUUAUGCACUGUCCCAAGUUUGGCAGCUUCUGCAUGUAACGCUUAAACAAACAUGAGUGUACUCAAUUUGGACAAGUGAGCUUUCCAGUUUCCUAUGUUAAGUUUGUAUCCCUUCGUUUUGGCCACCUGGUCACUUCUUCAGCCACCUGUUCAUUCCUCCUCCUCCUCCUCCUCCUCCUUAAUCCUCAACCCUUGGUCUUCCCUCCCCCAAAAUCUAAAACCCACCUCCAAUCUCCUGAAACAAUUGAAACCCACUUCACUAAUUCAAUGGCAAAUGCAUUUUCCAUGUCAAACAUGUUCCAAACGCUGCCCUUUCCUUGUUUGAAUCCAAAACCCAAUUCAACAAAUUCAGUAAGCGUUAGUCCACUGAAGAGUCAUCAGCAGUUCUUCCCCAAGUUCUUUAUUGCAAAUUCCAAGAAGGCGGGGGCGGCAGCGUCAACUAUGGAUGCGGAGUCCGGCUUUGCUGAAGAGGAGCAGCGGUCAAAAGCAGCAAAGUUUAAAGAGUCAGCUGCUGCUAUGAAUCCUGUUUACAAGCCUACGCCUUCCAAUCGCCCUCUUCGAACCCCUCACAGCGGGUAAUUUAUUAUAAUGCUUUUAUAUGUUUCGCCAAUUUAUUUGAAGUACUGGUGGCUGGUCCGGAAUUGAUGCAAAUUCAAAGUUGAUGGGAAAAAUGUGCUAAAUUUAUAGUCUUGAGGACUAAAUUGAGACGACUGUAGAAAUUGAAGUAUUGAACGAACGAAAACUGCAAAUUUUCUCCAUUUUGAGCUGCCUUUCCGUAUAAUUGCGUUGUUUGUAUCAAAUGAGAAGUCCUUUCAUUUGUCAAAUGAUCCAGCCGUUUAAUUUGGAUCCUUUAUCUAUCAAUUUUCUUUCUUUGUUUUUUUUUGGUCUUUUUUUGGGGCCCCCGGGGGGGGGGUUUGGAGGAGGGUGUUGGGGGGCGGUUGUUCAAUAACAGUACUACGUAGUGCAGGAUAAAUGAGUAAUCCAAUCAACUGAUGGCGUGGAUGAAUAGUGUAUAGUUGAAUAAUGUAGAAAAAAUGAAACCUGUAUGUAAAAAUAGUGCACACUUGUCUUUAGCGUGUAGAAGUCCCAUUUUGAAUGUACACUAGCGUAGAGUACAUGCAUGUGCUAAGAUGUAUCUCUGAACCUGUUGCGUACACUAAUUGAUCAAGGUCGGGGUACAAUUGUAUGAUAAGGUGCUAUUGCGAGUUAAAAAGUUGCUGUUGUGUGCUUGUCAGCCUUAACUGAUGCACUUGCCAUAUUUGGUAGUUUUUUAAAGGUUUUUGGAUGAUUGUAAACAACUCGUACACAUGAAAUCUAAGGCAUUUUAAAGACCAUUCUUUGGUGGUAUAUUAUUCGUUCUUUGCAUGAUGAUUAUGUGCGACUGUCUGUGCAGUGGUAUAGCCUAGUUCAAGUGUUACAAAAUUUGGAUAAUUAUCCAACUUUGUCUAAACGGUGACAUGUUUGUAGUUCUCUCUGUAUGUCUGGUUUCCCUGAUCUAUUGACCUUACCACUUUGACAAACCAGCUGGAGCUAGCUUUUCACAUAUGCUUUUCCACUAGCUUAUAGCUGUAUUAGGUGCUCCAGGAAACAUGUUUUACAUUUGCAUCACCGUUAUCAAAUUGAUACUGGUACUGAAUGGAUGGAUAAUCAUUUGCAUGCAUGGUUAUACUUUUCUUCUUGCAAUUCAUAACAGUCUGGUCAAUCCACGAUUUGUAAUUUCUUUAUCCAGGUACCAUUUUGAUGGAAGUACUCGGAAAUUCUUUGAGGGUUGGUAUUUCAAGGUCUCAAUACCUGAAUGUAGGCAGAGCUUCUGUUUUAUGUAUUCUGUUGAGAAUCCUGCUUUCUCCAAGAAGUUGAGCACACUUGAGGUACUACAAUAUGGGCCUAGAUUUACAGGAGUUGGGGCUCAAAUUCUUGGCGCUGAUGACAAAUAUAUUUGCCAGUACGCUGAAGAUUCUCCUAACUUUUGGGGAAGUAUGUUUCUUUUCCACAUGAAUAUACAACUUUUGCUGUAGACUGUCUGCAAGAAGUUAUUAUGAUUACUUGAUACUUGAUUGUACUCUCUUUCUCCUUUAUUCAGUAUGGCUGCUUUAAGCCUUUAACUUCCCCUGCCCCAGCCUAGAGACCAAAUAAAACUUGCAUUGUCCUUGAUGGGUUGACACAUUUGUUCUGUUCUUUGUCUCAUAUAAUUUGAUCAGAACUGUUGCAUGCUACCCUUCCAUUUCUUUCUUGAUCACGUUUGAGUAGCUGUCUUGCUUCCUAAGGUAAGUGCUAUAAGUCUUCUGUGGCCUUGUAAGUUGUAAAGGCAAUUUCCGUACUAUUUCCAAUUUUGUUGUAUGAGAAUAUUCUUCUUUGUUUUUCCUCUGCAUGGAUGGAAUAGGAAACUGACCAUGGCCUUUUUAGUAAGCUGUGACCACAAUUCUUUUCUUGAAAUGGCUUCCUAUUUUGUUGAUAUCACAUAGGGAAUAUGGUGUUGUAGACAUAUAUUUGGAGCAUAAUUUUUCCAGUACACCAUGACAUGGUUAGUAAAUAAACAAUAUGCUUUUUUGUGAAUCUAAUUCAUAUUGUCUUAACAAAUAGGCAGGCAUGAAUUGAUGCUUGGAAACACUUUUUCAGCAAAGAAAAAUAUGCGGCCUCCAAGUAAGGAGGUGCCUCCUCAGGUGAGCAGUUUUUGUAUGUUGCUGCCUUGGCGUAAGAUAAGGAGAAAGGGUAUUUUUUCUGAAUAGAAGGUGUACAAUUAUAAAUACUAGACACCAUCACCGUGUUUGAGCAGACUCUCAUAUUCCAAAAAAAUCCUUCAAGACGAUGACACCUUGUGUAUCAGUGUUGGUGAUUAAAUAGAACGUGUCAUUGUUUACUUUUCUGUUACUAAGAGUACAAGAUGGAACUCAUUUCUGCAUUACCAGUACCAUGAUUAUAGCGUGUACUAUAUCUAUUUGCUAGUAGAUGUGGUACAUCCCUGAGCACCAACUUCACAUCUUUUAGUUUCUUAAUUUUCAAUUCAAAAUAUUCAUAAAUUAUGGGAGACUGUAAAAGCUAAUGGAUAAAUAUUUUGAUGUUUGCACAUCAUGGAAAGUGAAGGGGUUCAAUUAUAAAAUUCUUUGCUUUAAUAGAAACCCACUCAGUAUCAAAAGUAAGCAUGUCAAUAAACCAGUUGUUAGUCACAUUCAACAUAUAAAAUCUGCCCUCCAUGGCCUUAUAAUGGAGUCAUGCAGGAUUUCCUGUAGUGCAUUGUGGAGCCUUAAGUGAUGUAUGUGCUACUGUUGUAGGUUUGUAUCUAUUUCUUUGUGUAAUGGCAAGUACUCAGAUAUCAUUGUUAAGUAUAGCUUUAUUGUCUCGGAAAUUUUUUGGUGUCAGUGCAUGAACUUAUUAUAGAUUUUGCUGUUUCAUAACUCCCAAGAGGUUCUCCCUUUUACCGAGUUGGUAUCCUUUUAACAGGAUACGUAUUUGUAUCCUGGCAAGAAUAUUAUGCUUACGAGAUAUUAUUGUUAUUCAGCGACUUUUUUUUUUUCCCCUUAAAAGUGUCACAAAAUGGAGAUCUGAUUUCAAGAUAUGAUACUAGGCUUAUCUGGUUGUUUGGUUCUACAGGAGUUCGAUCAAAGAGUUCUGGAAGGUUUUC